rnacentral:lncRNA from 1 species
UGGGUGUAGAAGGAUCCUUGACCUUUCUCAUCAAAUGUCUUUGCUUGGGAUUGAAAUCCUUUAUUUUCGAUCUGUUGUGGGAGUGUUGCUUGUUGGUUUUCUUGGUCCUGCAAUACCUUUCUUGGAUGGAGAGAAUCAAUCUCCUUUUUUUUCAUGGAGAUAUAUCCUCCUUUUCCAUCAAGGGGAGUCGCUUUUUUGCUUUUAUCAACAUCUCAGUGUGCUGAUAUUACUUUUAUCAACAUCUCAGUGCUGAUAUUAAGAAAAGUGAAAAGAGCACUUUGUCAAAAAUGGACACAGAGCUCUUGGGGAAUAUUUGGCACCCAUGGCUUGGGACCCUUUUCAGGCUUUUAGUCCCGUGUCAGUAACCCUAUGCGUGGAUGGAUUGGAGUUGGAAUAUCUAAUCAUGUUCAAUCAUUUUAUCCCCCUCACAUGGUGCUAAUCCCAUUAGUGGAAUUGGCAUUACGGCAGAUUGGAGAAAACCUGCCAAAGGUUCCCCUCCUCCCACCACCACCGAGCUCUUGUCCUGAGAGACCUAAUCUCACUUCAGUUCUUUUGAAUUCCUGUAGUUGUUGGAUUCAGAUUUGAGUGUGAAGGAGCUCAAUAUCAAGGAAGGAAGCAGCAGUGGCCUCCACUGCUAAUGUUUUUUUCUGUAGCACGAGAAAGAAAGGAUUUGAGCUGACUUCUUUGACUUUUCGCCAAUUGUUUUAUCUUUUGAACGAUAUAUUUAUGAGCUGGAUUUCCUAAGCAAUUUUGUGGCAUAUCCUAUUCUAGUGGCCAAACAUGCCUUUGGAAAGAAAACUCUUCAUUGAAUUCAGAAUUCGACGAUGUUCAUGGUGUGCUCUCUUGCCCGUUCCUUCCCAAUGAAUUGAUUUGGCCUUGAUUUCAUUUAUUAGGACCUGUUUGCACUCUAAUUCUUAUCUUAACUUAUCAAGAGAAUGCGUUGCCUAAAAUCUUCUUCUCUUGGAAGGAUAGGACUUAGUAAACCUGAACCUCCUCUUAAAAUGCAUCACUAUUUUAAUGUAUAGUUCAAUCUCAUGCACAUAGAAGUAAGAUAGGGUGUCUCUUGUUGUAGCUCAAGCCAUUGAAGUGAUAAUUUGGUAGUUAUGAACGAAGAAAUAUAGUCCUAAACAUACUGGAGAAGCCAAAACUGAGACCUGUUGCAGUAGUUGGUUGAUCGGCUGUUAAUUUUCUGGAUUAGAUAAGCGUUAUGGCUUUCUGUAUUGUUUCAGUUUGUUGUGUGUUCUUUCAGUUCUGGCUUGUCUUCCAUAAGUAGAACAGUUUCUGUUUAGCUUGAUUUAAGGAGCUCUUUCUGUUCAAGUAGUAAAAGCUAGGUUUUUGAGGGCUAAAAUGCUUGCCUUCUGUCUUGACAGGAAGCUGAACUGCGUGUAUGUCCUAAUGGCUGAAUAUAUACAAUUUGAAGCUCCUUCUAUAUGCUUCAGUAAUAACUCAUUGGGUAAUUCAAUGUAAAAUGGGAUGAUAUAAAAGAUUUUUAACUUCCCAAGCAAAUCUACUGAAUUAUAUACUUUAGAAGCCUUAGCUAUGCCAUAUAGGCCAUAAAAUUAUCUAGUUUUCAGUUAAAAGGCCUAACACAUUGUUUUAUGUCUCUGGUUUCUCAUUCUGCACAAAUUCUUUAUUUGCCAUCUCUCUAGCUAUAGCAUAGAGCAGACUGUUAUGAGAGCCCAGGGUGUUGCAAUCAAGAUUUCGUAGUUAGAUCGUUGAUACCCAACUGAAUAACUGACCGAUAUUUAUGAAAAAAAAAUUGAUCAAAGUAGAGCUUAACUCAAGGUGAAACAGUUGGGUGACUAGUUUCUGCUGUUUUAGCAUUAGCCAGUUGAUUGAUUGCUGAUGGAACUCAUAAUUUUUCAAUUCAAGGUUAAACUGAUAUUACACUUUGGCUUGGCUAGUUCAAGAAGAAUGCAUUUACUGGUAAACUAUUAGUGAAAAUGAAGUAUUUAUCGAUUAUGGACUUUACUCAUUUGCUUCAUUUUCUUGUCCUUUCCUAUCCUUUUUUCUCUUCUUUUGCUUUGUCAUUUUGUUCUCUUUCUAUGAUUAUGAAACUUUUCCCUUUUAAUUCUUUGGCUUCUUUCUUCUUUCUAUUUGUCUUCUCUUUCUCUGCUUAUGCAGUGUUCAGAGCCUCUCAUCUGCAUCAUAAAUAUAAAUAAUUAGCUUGAUUUAGGAACCUCUUCUCUUCUUUUGCUUUUUCUCCCUCUACUACUUUCUUUGGCCUUUCUCUGGUUUUUACUGGAAUUGCGAGGAAAAUCUAUUGUAGACGUCAAACAGGGGUUUUAUCCCUUGUCUCAAUUAAGGUCCAACUUUGAUCUGAUUGAAAACUCUCUUUGGUGCGUACUUUUGGUCUGAGACUAGAUCCAGAUGAUAAUUUCUGUUGCAAUUAUUUUGCCGCAGUCUAUUUGGUCAUGACUUCUGAAGAACUGAAGUUUUAUCAAUAAUAUCAAUGCGUAUACACCGCCCUCUCUGGGUUUGUAAUUUUGGAGAUAAUAUACUUCAAUCAUUCCUGCAGUUAAGAGGUGCCUUCAUGUUGAUUUAUCAAUUAUAUUAGGAAAAAGAGGAGUCAAAUUUGAACUUUAACUGCAUCAGAGAUUCAAUUGAGAUGUGUAAAGAAUUAAAUUUUCAAGGAGAGCUGCAGAGGAAGACGUAGGAGAUAGAUAAGAUGGAUAGGGAUAACUAAUAAAAAGUCCUUUAGGUAAAACUAUAAUCUAUCAACUUCAGCUCUUUCAAUGCCUCGAUUUCCCUCCCUUUUGAUUUACCAUACAAAACGUUUUCCUUUGGAACUUCUCUAGCCUGAAGCUUAUUGCAGCUGACUAGGAUUUUCUCCAAAAAUUGCCUAUCUUGUCUAAAGAAUUCCUACUAGGCCUUAAUUAAUAUCCUUUUAGGGUCUAUUGAGAACUUCAGCCUACACUAUUCAACCAAAAUAUUUGACGAAAGAUGGGAAAACCUAUGUGAUGGUGAAGAAUUGUCUGGAUUAUUUAUUAUUAGUUCCAAUAUUCUUGGAUUUGGAAAGUCUGCCUGGUAGUGAAAUAGAAACUAUAUGAGUCAUUGCUUUCUGAAGAUAUAUCAUUCUUGUAUCAUAUGGACCUCUCACAGGCCUUCACCUAUUCAGUGUAUUACUGUUGAUUAUUGUCCUUUCAAGAGUACAUACGAGGAGAAGGAUGAGGCAAGAUAAUCAGGCUUAGUGUCUGCACUAAAAUCUUUAUGAGCAGUGGUUUGCACUGAUGGCUACAGACACAUUCCGCUUUUCAUUUUUACCACACAAUUGGUUAAUUGGCUUUCGUAUUCUUCUCGUCAAUGUUAGCUACAAAUAUAGGCUACAAAUUUUUACCGUUCGAUGCAUAGAUCAAUUGUGAUAUUGUGACCAAAUCAUGAAAUACUAAAAUCAUUGGGAAUGUGAGUCAGAUUUGAGUAGAUUGAAGUUAGAUGUGAAUAGGGCUGCGAAAUAAAUUACAUUCAAGAAGCAAAGGAUGAUGCGAAAGAAACUAAGGAGACCACUAAAGAGAAAAAUAGAGGAAGAAAGGGGGGAUAGGAAGGCCCUAGGCCCAAGGAAAAUUGCUUUCCAUUGGCGGUAUCCAUCGUGUUAUCAGGAAAUAUUUUUACUCCACUGGACCUUUUUUUAACUGUUUGUAGGUAAUGCUAUUUCCUUCCGGUGUAAUUAACCGACCUCAAGUUUGGGUAUUUGAAUUCUCUUCUGUUGCUCUUCCUCAAAAUACUUCCAAAUCAUAUGAUGAUAUACAUGAGAGGAGUAGAGUGAAAAAUUGAUAUGUGCUCUUGGAUCCAAACCUAUGCACCUACAUUCUGUGACUUUAAUUGAAUGGUAUGAUAUGACUAAUCUGAUGGAUUUUAUGAAUGUGACAGAUUUUUUUUCCAAAAAACCAUGAAAAUGCAAAUGAUAGUUGAGUGUAUUAAGAAGAGUUAAAUCUUGGCGAUGCAUAGGCGUAAGUUAGUGGGUUCAUGGUAAGGCUGUCAACGAGUCGAACACGAGCGAGCUGGGCCCGGCUCAUGUUCGUUAAAAUAUCAAGCGAGCUUGUUAAAAUAUUGAGUUGAAAAAUCCAACUCACGUUCAACUUGUUUAUUAACAAGCCGAACACGAGUUGGCUUGCAAACAAGAAGUUAUAUUGUUAGCCCUACUAGUGGUUGAAAAGUUUAAAAGUAGAAAAUUAGAAUCUUAAUCUAAUAAUUGAAAUUCAUAAAAUAUUGGUCUCUUUACAUUUUGGUUGGCCUAAAAUCCAAAUAGUAGAAAUUUGUAAUAUAUAUAUAUAUAUAUAUAGAGAGAGAGAGAGAGAGAGAGAGAGAGAGAGGUCUUAUAUGCUAUUAGGAGCAUAGAGACCUCCGUGUUCCCAAGCCGUUUUCGAUGAUGGGACUUUUGAAUCGACGAUCGACUCCAUUAGACUUGAUCUAGCGUAUUUGAAGCAUUUAGAAAAUAAUUUUUGUGGAUUUUUAAUAUUAUUCACCUAGUGAUCGAAAGAAUUCAAAAUCAACAAUUUUUAAUGGUUGAUGUAUGCCGUUUGCAAGUUUAAUGGUGUAGAAGUAUUCAAAUCAGAUGAAAUUUUGAUAGAAAAUUCUUUAUACUAUCUACAACAAGAUCAAUAUCUCUGAUCGAAACUUUUAAUGCUACAUUAUGACUUUUUGUUUGAUUUUUAUUUUCAACUGUUGAUUUUGAGUCCUUUUGAUCACUAGGUAAAUGAUAUUGAAAAAGCGCAAAAUUUAUUUUCUAGAUAGUUUAAAUACGUUACAUCAAGUCUAACGGAGUUGAUCGUCGAUUUGAAAGUUACGUCAUGGAAAACGACUUAGGAGUACGAAGGCCUCCGUGCUCCUGAUAGCACACAAGACCUACUCUCUCUCUCUCUCUCUCUCUCUCUCUCUCGCUCGCUCGCUCCCUCUCUCUCUCUCUCUCUAUAUAUAUAGUCCGGCUACUAUAGUUUUAUGAGUACGAUCACCCUUGUACUCAUAAGUCGUUUUCGAUGAUAGAGCUUCCGAAUCGACGAUCCAUACUGUUAAACGUUAUCUAGAGCAUUUAAAUUUUCUAGAAAUCAAAUUUUAUAAUUUUUCGACAUCAUUACCUUACGAUUAGAAGGCUACAAAAUUGAUAAUUUUUAACAGCUGGUAUGGGAUAUUUGCUAGUUUAACGGUGUAAAAGAAUCGGAACCGAUUGAAUUUUUGAUAGAAAAUUCUAUUCACUACCUAGAUAAAGAUCAGUAACUCCAAUCUGAAAUUGAAGGAUCUGAUCAUCCAUUUUUAGGACGUCAUUCGAUUUUGGCCGUUCAUUUUAUGCCUGCUUGAUGGACUUUAUUAUGAUUUCGAAAAAUUAUGAAAUUUAUUUUCUAGAAGUUUCAAAUACUCUUAGAUCAUAUCUAACGGAGUGAAUCGUCGAUUUGGAAGCCCAUCAUCGAAAACAACUUAUGAGUACGAAGUGUUCUAUACUCAUAAGAGUAUAGUAGCCCUACUCUCUCUCUCUCUCUCUCUCUCUCUCUCUCUCUCUCUCUCUAUAUAUAUAUAUAUAUAUAUAUAUAUAUAUAAUAUGUGAGCUAUAUCGAGCUGAACACAAGCGAUCUAACUCUAGCUCAUGUUCUCGGCUCGUUAAGGUUUUGAGGUGAAAAAAUUAGUUCGUGUUCAGCUCGCUUAUUAAAUAAGCGAUCUAUCUCGACCUUAUUUUGAGCUGAACACGAGCUGGCUCGUGAACAAUGAGCUGAAUUGUGAGCCCUAGUUCGUGGUGACUUACAAAGUGUUUGAAGACAUGAUUAUAUUUUGGUUUCAUAUAUAAAACCAUUUAAUAUUUAGUUAUUUAAAAUUUAAGCUGUAAAAGUAGAUAUCAAUAAUAACUAAAUCAAUUCUUACAUUGCGCUUCUAUAUAAACGUCCGCAGCGUUGUGCAUCAAAUGGUAACUGAAUCUGGAUGUAAAAAUCUUGAUUAAAAAUACCUUUCGAAUACUAAAUCCAAGAUUUUAAUGUCGAUCAUGAGCCCAAGAUUGUCUUGUGUUUUAAAUUUGAGAUCAAACUGAUAUCAAAUGAAUCAAUUUGUAUUAAUAUUUAAUUUUAUGUAAAUAGAAGGACUAGUGUAAAAACUGCUCUUCCUAUGCUUGACAGAUGGGCCCUCAAUGGAGGCCUAUCUUAUCCUACAUGUUGACAUGGUUUGGGCCUCUCCUAUGUAAAAGGGGUUUAUUCCCUUUCAUUCUCUCUACCUCUCUCUUACCGUAGGACGAGAUAGGUUGGAGGAGAAAAAUAUUAUUUGCACCAAGUGUAGAAAACUUAUGCAACAAUAUAGGUGAGUUUGAUAUAUAUUUUAAUUUUCAUGAUCAUUAGGGCUCAUUUGGACUUGAUUCAUUCCAACAAGCUCAUUGGAUUUAUUGUUAUGUCUGUUGGACCAGACUGUAAUUUAAAAGAAUUGUUAGACAUAAAUGUAAAUGAAUUGGGCAAAAUUGCGGGAGAGUAGUAGGGAAUUUUCUCUCCUUUUUAUAAUUUCUGAUGUUUGAUUUUUUUCAGUUUUUAUAUACCAUAUAAAAUAAAAAUAUACUAAAAUAUAUUAAUAUAUAAAAUAUGGGUAAAAAUAUAUGUAAACUCCAUCAACUAAACGAUAUUAGCAAAUAACAUUAUUUUAUUAUUGACAAAAAUUAUACUAGUUUUCUUUAUUUGUUUCUUACAUAAAAUAAUAAUUGAAGUGAUAGGUUAAUAUAUAUCAUUAGGUCCAAAUCUGUAGGCUUAAAAAUCACCAUUACUGUUCUUUGCAGUGCGGUGUGACUGAUUUGGUGGUUCUUAUAAAAAUGAUAAAUUCAUGGAGAAAUCAUGAAAAUGCAAUAUGUCGAUUGGUGUACCCAGAAUAGUUAGGUCUCGGGGAGUAGACGCAUAGGCUCGAGUAAGUGGGCUCAUUGUGACCUUUAGAGUGCUUGAGAGCAUACAUAUAUUUUUUUUAAAAUAAUAUUUUUAAAUAUUAAAUAUUUAACGAUUAAGUUCUAAAAUUAAAUAUUAAUAAUAACUAAAUCAAUUGAUUCUUACAUUAUGUUUUUAUGUAAGUGUCUGCAGCACUGCGCAGGUUAUUGUCACUAGUUGACUAUGAUUAGUCAUAUAGUCCCUUAUUACUCUGUAAGACUGUAACAUGCAUCUUUUGUUCGAUAGUGUUCCUGUAAUUAUAGUACAUUUGUUAUCCCAAUGUUGGAUUGUAGUAGCAGGUCAAAGAGAGAUAUCCUGUGGUUAGAGGUCGUUGGUGCCUUGCUAGUUCUGUCUAUAGCUUUUGAGAUGUCUUGUUUAAGCAUAGCUUUUCAAAGAAGCCUUUGCAGGCUCUCUGAAAUUAAUACUCUUGGUGAAGCUAGAAAUAAAAUGUUCAAAUUGGAUCUUUUGUUUUGGAUCUUGAAGCGUCUUUUUUCCUCCUGUUCUGACCAAAAUUUUUAGACUUAUGUUGCUCGAAAUCCUAGCUUUUGCUUCUUAAAUAGUCGAGCUGUUCCAGAAAAUGGAUCAUACAGGCCCUUGAAGUUUAAUUGCUGUAGAUUAAGGAGAAGAGAUAAGUUACAAGUAGAUUCAAUGGAGAGAGAUAACUUACUGUUUUGAAGGAUUGUAGUGCUGAUCAUUUUUAUUUAUUUUCUGGUUGUGGUUCAUUUAGUUGACAACACCAUGAAAAGCUGAGGGCUAUACAUUGCUUAUGAUUCCUAGACAAGGUAAGAUUAGAUUAUCUGUCAGUUAGCAGAUUCUUAUGGUUGCUAGGCUUUUUUAGUUUUCUUUUUUCUGUGAUACAAAGUUAUGGGUGCUAACAUCAGCAUAGCUUCUUCCUUUGCAUUGGCAACAACCAUUAUAUGAAGUUAUUUGGUUUUGACAACAACUGGACGACUACUCGGCAAGUUCUAAAUUAUCUGUGGGGCCGUUCACUCCUGGGCAUAUCAACAAGUGUGGUACUUUCCGCUUUUGGAGUAGGGUUGUGCAUGUUAGCUAUUAUUUAUUAUGUGGUUUAGGUUUGACUAAAAUAGCGCAUUCUAUAUGAUCUUACAUGAUUUUACAGAUUCAUUUUUUAGGUUGUUUGGGUACAUACUGUUUAGAGGAGAGAGCGGUGGUGGAUCAUCGGCCAUGGGGAAAUGAGGGGUGGCGGAGGAGGGAGUGGCGGAGCAAGGAGGCCGGCAAGAGGGGUCGACGGAGGUGGCGCUAAGUUUGAGGGGAAAAGGGAGAGAUAGAUAGCAGAUAAGGUUGCAGUUGGGGGGUUGAGGUUGUGUUAAGGCCCUAAAAAUGGAGAAAACUAUUUUCAGAGGUUUGAGUGGAUUUUAUUUUAGGUUAACUAUAUGUUUUAGGUGUUCUUUUGAAGUAUUCGAACAUUUUAUAGCAAAAUUUUCUCAAGAGUAUAGUUAUACUAUGUUCUAUGAUGCAUCCACAUGUUUGUAAAGAAUAGUUAGGUUCUGUUUGGAUGUAUCAUAAAAGAGAGUAUAGUAUAACUAUACUAUGCUCCCAGGAAAAGUUUUGCUAUGAGGUGUUUAGAUGCUUCAAAUAAAAGGCUUGAAGAAAAAAAAUAUAGUUAACAUGGGGGCUAAAAAUAGUGUAGUUAAAAUCCAAACCUUGAAAAAAAAAUUUCUUCUGGCCAUCGAGCCUUAGUCCCGCUCCCCUAUUUUUCUCUCCUUUCACUCCCCCUUCUCCCCCAAUCCCCCGAACCCACCCGCUCCUGCUCUCUGAUCCUCCCUACCACUUUGCACCUGCCGUCAUUUGUUAAUUUUUUUUAAUUAGUUAUUUGAUCUCUGUUUGUUAAUUUUUAGUUAGGAAUUUUUAUAAGUAAUGUUUUGAUUAGAAAUAAAUUAGUCUAAAUGUAGUUCAAUUUGAUUUAGUUUAGUUAGUUAUUUUGAUCUCUAAUUGCUUAGCAAAUAUAAUAUUUUUAUUAGUUAUUUUAUCAAAUUUGACAGCAUUACUUUCAAAUUUUGCACUUGGCAUCCAAUAGAGAUAAAAACAGAGUAUAGUAUUCCUGUAGGAUUCCAUGGAAUUCCUGAUUUAAUUAGCAAAACCGCAUAAAAUAAACUAGAGUUUUUUAAACAAGCUAUCCAAACGUGGCCUAAAUCUAUAUGGGUAUAUCAGAAUGUAAUCCAAGAUGACGUUGAUGAGUUAAUUUUGUAUAUCUGAUAGCUAUUAAGUAGAUUUGAUUUUGAACUUUCUGACAAAUUUUGAAAGCUAAUCUAUUAUGGUAAAGUAGCUGUCACGUGUACAAAACUGACUUAUCAAUUUUAUUUUGGAGUCACCUUUUAAAAUACUCUUAGCUUUACUUGUAAAAGUUUGUUUGGCUCUCCAUUAGUUAGCAGGACGUCGUCAUAUUCAAUUGUGUCUAAAUCCUUAGUUACUUUCUCCCCUUCCGUUUUUGUUCCCUUUGUUUUUGUUUUUUUGUUUUUUGUUUUUUGUUUUUUGUUUUUUUUUUCGUUCGUGCUUUUUGAAUUCCAAUCCAAUAUGUUGUAACCCAUACCUACUGUUGUCUUGAAAACUGUCCCAUCUCACCCUAUAAAUAAAUUCAAAAGAAUAUGUGAUGUUAUGUGCUUUCCUAUGUGCUCUAUAUCAAUACAUUACGUGUAGAAUAAUGGCAGGAACUUUCUGAUUCAUAGACUUCUUAAUUUAUGUAAUACUGACACGUUUAUGAAAAUUUGGCCGGCAAGAUUGCACUGUCCAGUUUUACAUUGUCAAUACUAAGCAAUUUAAAUUGUGUUACACUGUUGCACCAUUUAUUUUUCAUAUUUGAACGGAAUACAUAUUUCUGCACAUUCCUACUGCAAAAGUACUUGAUGCUACUGCAAAUUUUGGUUGAAGUACACUUCUGUGUUUUUUCCCUUAUUUUCACGCCGUGACAAGCUGGGGGUACCUUAGGAGCAGUUAACUCUCAUCUUAACUCUCAUCUUUUGUUAUCAUAAUAAACACUAUGUUUAUAGGCAGUUGUGCUCUCCACUUCUGGUGGGAAUAGAUACUGUUUAUCUUCUUUGUUGGGAUAAAGGGAAUGUAUGGCCGCAUAUCGGAGGCGGUACCUUUCCAUUUGAAUUCUCCUCUAUAUGGAAAGGAGGGACCCUCAACCAUCGUUUGUUUCUCCUUACACUUUAUAAGUUCGUUCUUCUUUGCUGUCUUUUUUGGGUUUUCAUUGUACUCUAAUUAUUACAUAUUUCAUCACCGAGCUUAAGUUGUUGUACCACUUUAGUCAUCUAUCAACUGAUUCUAUGUCAACUAAUGGAUAUUCUGAAGGAUGAAAAUGUGGCAAGAAUUUAUGCAUGCUUGUUGAAGGUGUGGUAAAAAACAGAUGAAAGUUGAGCAUGCCCAAAAAAUUCAGGCUUGUUAAGUGUAUUUUUAUCCCUAGCUAGUGUUCUUGGGAAUGUAAGUUCAAAAUGAUGUAGCAAUCUGCGUCUUUAGAUCUUUUGUUUUCUUAUCAUUAGCAUUAUUGUUCCUGGAGGAGGUCCGUUGAGGUAACAUUGGACUUCUUAUUUUUAUGGGGUCCUUAUGCAGCACUUUUCGCCAAUAUUAUUAUUCUUUUGUUGUUUCUUUGGAGAAUUACGGGUUUUCUAAUCAAAACAGACAAUAGAAAUCAUAAUGUUCAUCCCUUUAUGCUUUUCUUUACGAACAGAAACGUAAGCAAGUGUAAUUGAUGUUCUACUCAAAUUUUUGGAAAUAAAAUGUGAAGCAUUAAGGAAAUCAUAUCUAUGUUCCUUGUUAUUAAGUAAAUUAUUAUUAUUCUUUUCUCACAAACUGAUCAUUCGUUACGAAAACUAAAAGAAAUUCACUUUUCUCUUUGGUUGAUGCAUGGCGACUUCUUGGGGAUCAAUUUUUUUUUUUUUUUUUUUGGGCCAAACGAAUGCUUAGCUUUGUAAUUUUAUAGCAUUUAAGGAGAGAUUGGAAGUGCUUAAUUUUGAUACUUUGGUAGUGUAAUAAGGAGUGGCUUUACUUAUGUAUUUCUAUACUAGCCUAAGCCACUGCUAGUUCUACAUGUUUCCCAAUGGUACCAAGUAGAAUUCUGAUUGCAUUCUAAGCCUUUGUGGAUCAAUAUCAUUAACACCCUGUUUGGCUGCCCCAUUGUCUACAAGUUUAAAGAUUUUUUUUUUCUUUUUUUGCCUAAAUUGGGGAAAACUUUUUGUAAUUAUUUACAUUUUUUCUGACUUUUAAAAUUUAUAGCCUCCUUAAAAUUGCAGAAAUCGUUUUAGGAGGGUACGAUGUUAAUGGAGAGAAUGGAGAGGGCAAAAUAUUUAAAUUGCACCUUUUAUAUAAGAAAAAAAUAAUUCUUUAAUGUAUUUAUGUUAUUUUGAAGAGUAGUUUUUAUAUAAAUUAUAUGAAAUGGAUGUAAUAGUGAUGAAAUUCUUAAGGAGGUUAAAUGCAGCAAUUUGAAAUGUUAAGAUGGUAAAAAAAAUUAUGGUUUUUAAAAGUUAGGAAGGAAAGUUAAAAAAAAAAAAAAGAAAAAAAAAGAGUAUUUUUAAGGAAGCCUUUUGCAAUAUGGUCUUGAUCAUUCAAUUCAUUCGGAAUGAUUUGAUGCGGUUUUUCGUAAUACAAUUUGAGUGUCAUUCAAAUCCGAUGGUUUUACUUUGGAUUUGGGGAGGAUUUAUUUAUUUUAUUAUUAGUUAUACCUUAUCAAUAAUGUUGAAAAUACUCCUUCGUAAAUUAAUCAUAAUUUUACAGUAUCUUUCUUGCUAUGCAACUGAGGAUGGAAUUAACAAGAGUCGUUGUACCAAAAUGAUUUCUCAUUUUGUUUUUACAAAAUAACAAAAUAGAAUAGAUUUUAGUGGGAAUUCUGAUUGAAAUCAACAAAGAAUUUUAUAGAUAAAUGCAUUUAAAUGAUUUUCUUGCAGUUAAAUUAAAAUUUAUUUAAAUUUGGUGCCAAACUUAGUGAAAAGCAAUUCGUUCCCCUGCCCAAGUGAUUUUUUUUUUUAAAUUUCGCAUCACGCAUGGUCAAUAUAGGAUCAACACACCAUUAUACACUUUUGGAUAUUUAACUAAAUUGGACUUCCAAAGAAAAUGGCUUCAUCCUCUAACGAUCCACCUCCUUUCCCCUCCCCUCCUCCCAUCCCACCUGCUAAGCCACCAGAUUUAAGUGAAUCUCAGCGAUCAAACCCAACCUCCUGGGCUCAACUAUUCAGCAGACAAAAUACUUCCACUUCACCCUGCUCCUUGCAUCAGUUGCAACGUAUUCAGUCCUCUACGUCCGAUGAAGUUUUCAUUUCCCCUGAACUACUAUCGAAAAGCCGCUUGGAAUGGAGCUUCAGCCUAAUUGGCAAGUUUCUCGGCAAACCACCUCCGCUUAUGAGCCUUCGGCGAGACGUCGCCCUUAAAUGGAACCCAAAAGGUGCCCUUCAGGUGGUUGAUAUGGCUGCUGGAUUUUUUGUCUUCAAGUUCUCAGAGGAGGAGGACAUGAUGAAGGUGAUCACUGGCGAUCCGUGGUCAAUUAAAGGCCUUCCCCUUAAUCUCAUUCAUUGGCGCCCCAACUUUCAACCUCUAUUAGAGGAGAUUAGCUUUGCCCGUGUCUGGAUCCACCUCUUAGGAAUCCCGUGUUAGAAACUUUAUAAGAAACUAGAUCGUACCUUCUGCCAUGAUUUCGAUUUCUGUACCCGAUUUGUAAGCGGUGAUUCUUUCUCGUGGUUCGUCCUCGUUUGUGAUCUGCAAGAAGACGGGACGUUUCGAGUCUAAUUCCCUUAUCCCCGGAGAUGGAGCCGUCACAGACAAUUGGAUUAGGGUUAGACCGGGACUCCCGUAUGUUACAUAUUUAUAUAUAACUUAAUGUAAGGAUGUUAAAUCACGUCCGUCCAUCAAGGACGUGUCCAGAUACAUCCUAACCGUAAGAUCUAAAAUAUCUUUAUAGAUCGACUUAAAUAGAUUGACCGUAUCUUUAUGGAUCGCCUUGAAUAUAUCACGUGGGCCACAUCCAACAUCCCGAACGAGUAUUGGGAUAGAGAUAUCUUGAUUCAGAUUGCUUCCCAUUUUGGUAAACCUCUCAAGAUUGAUGAAUGCAUCUUAAAUAGGGAAAGAGGGCGCUAUGCGUGUGUCUGCGUUGAGCUUGAUCUUAACCAACUGCUGAAACAGGGUACCUGGGUGAAAACUAUCGAAGGGCGCUACUAUCAAUCCGUUGCCUAUGAAAACCUUCCGGCAAUGUGUUUCCACUAUGGGAAAAUCGGGCACCGCCUUGGUGAUUGCCCUCUUUCGUCAACGACCACUACUGAUGAAGGCAAUUCCACUACUCACUCCAAUUCUAAAACCAGUCAACCCCCUUAUACACAAGUGCACCCUUCGAAUGCUGAUACUCCAUUAUUUGGACCAUGGAUUCGCGUUGAACGCCGCCGCAGUCGCCGGUGUGCAAUUCCCACCCACACGGUUAGUGGCUCACUUGAUAGAUCACCGACGAUGCCUUCUGCCGGGCCCGACGCCAACCCAGUCGACCAUCGACAUCAAGCCGUUGCUCCUCAACUAGCCAUCCAACGGUCCAGAAGCAAGAGUGAGGCCUUUCUGUCUAAUCCGUCUGGGACAAUCCCUUAGGCCAUUAUGGCUUCAAACACUGUGAAAAGUUGCAAUCCCAGCCCACGUGAUGGCUCAACCUCCAAGAAAAGCCUUCCCUGUACUACCCAUCUUUUGCUUGCCCCACAAGACACUCAUUUACCAUCAGAUCAUGAUAUGAUGAUGGAUGAAACCCCUACCAAUCCUAUUGCUUGUGUUACUAGCCCUCCACUUAGUUUAAAUGCCCCGAACAAUGACAUUGACAUGUUACAUAUACCCAAUCCUUCAAACCCAUCAGAUAACCCAGGGAGGAAGCCAGAAAUUAAGAUUCGGGGAGGCCAAGAUUUAGAUUUGCUAGGAAAAAAAUUCGACCUUGGAUAGUAAAAAAAAAAAAAAAAUUGUCAAAUUCACUGUUAACGAUAAUAUGCUUAAAGAGGAACAAGACCGUAAGAGUAAGGAAAAUGACCAAAAAAUUUUUUUAAAAAAUUGAGACACAAAUUUUAUUAAAAAAAUAAUUUGGCCCCCUAAAAUUAAAAUUUAUAAUAUUUUAAUUUUUAUUAUAAAGUACUUAUAUGUAAUUUUAAAAAAUUUAGGAGGGGCCAUGGCCAUUGUAGGGCCCUCUAUGGCUCCGCCCCUGAGAUAACCCAACUACAAAUCCUCCUAAACCUUUCUCUUUUCCUCUUCUCUCCUCUCAGACCACCUAUACUAACCUAGCAGCCCAAAUUGAGCAAGUUCUCUCUUCGCUCGCUCGCUCUAGGGAAGAAACGCAAGACUUGCGAAGCCAGGAAAUCUUACAAGAUGAUCCAGACCUUCCUACUCCUUCACUGUUGCGAAGGUGCAACUCUGGAAGGCGGGUUAAGCUUGCCCACGAGCUUUCACGCUCGUCACUUGCUGCUAAAUCUAAUCUUCGACCCAAAGUCUCGGCUUUUAGAAGGGCCAAUGAUGCUAGGGCUUUAAUUGAGCUAAUUACUGCUGCGGCUAAUGCUGAGCCUCCCUCAUGCUCUACAACUUCUUAAUGAAUUUGAUCGCUUGGAAUUGCCGUGGACUAUCCAAGAACUCCACCAUGGAUAGAUGUAGGGAGUUUAUUCGUAAUCAUAACUCUUUUCUUAUCCUUCUUUUUGAGACUAGAUCAAGCACUAUCUCUGGUCCUAAUUUUGCUCGCAGAUUGGGCUAUCAUUGGCGAUCCUCCGAAAUUUCGAGCUUGGGCUUCUCAGGUGGGAUUCUGCUGCUUUGGAACUCUAACAAGGUGCAAGUUACUACUUUUAUCCACUCGAGACAGGCAAUAGAUGCAGUUAUUUCCAUUGAUGGGUUUUUUCCCUGGAUCUUAUCUGGUGUGUAUGCUAGUCCUUCUUAUCUUAUUCGCAAAUCUCUUUGGACCGAGCUUGCUUCUCUUGUUAGUAUUAAUGCACCUCAUUUUAUUGUGGGUGAUCUCAAUGUCACUCUCAGUAAAGAAGAUAAGCUUGGGGGCAAGCCUUUUGCUAUUAAUCAUGGUAUUCGUGAUUUUCGAAAUUUUGUGGACCAACUUUCCUAUGCUGAUUUGGGCUUCUCCGGGCCUCCAUUUUCUUGGUGCAAUAAUAGACAAGGCCUCAGGCAUGUUUGUGCUCGCAUUGACCGUGCUCUGGGAAACCACCCCUGGAUGCUUCUCUACCCUGAUUGUCUCGUUAGACAUUUGCCGCGCAUGGGCUCCGACCACUCACCCCUGCUUACCUCUUUAACUCGCCUGCACCAUAUAGGGAAGAAGCCUUUUAGAUUUAAACAUUUCUGGUUUGAUUAUGACGAAGUCACCUCUAUUGUUGCUAACUCCUAGACCCUAUAUAGUUACCCUAACUCUUUAUCCAAUUUCCAUCGCAAUCUUACUGCAAUUAGAUGUAAUGUUUCCUUGUGGAAUAGACAUAGCCUUGGCAAACUUGAGAAUCGUAUUGAUUGUGUUUGUGACCGUAAUCACAUCCUUGAGGCUAAGGAUUGUGAGCGUUCUUUAAGUCCUGAGGAUUCUGUCAACCUCUCUAUUGCCUAUAAGGAACAUCAGGCCCUCCUUCGCCAACUCGACACUAAAUGGCGUUCUAAAAGUCGCAUUAAUUGGGUGAAUGACGGAGAUAGAAACACCCGCUUUUUUCAUCUUACUGCCCUGCUUAGGCGUCGAAGAAAUAGUAUUCACUUUGUGAUUAAUGAAAAUGGCAUCAGGGUGGAUUCCUAUGAUCAGAUCUCUAACGCCUUUAUUAAUUUUUGUUCUGACUUGUGGUCGCAUCCUUCAUCUAUCAAUACUGCCCAGUUUUGAUGGCCUGCUCUUCCCGGUCUCUCUUCUGGGUAUCAUGAUGAGCUUCUUAAAACUUUCACUGAUGAGGAGAUUCAUUUUCACUGAUGAGGAGAUUCAUUCCACCCUUCUUUCUAUGGGCCGUGGUAAGGCUCCUGGGCCUGAUGGUUUUCACACCGAAUUUUAUAUCAAGUAUUGGGAUAUUCUAAGUCACGACCUAUGCUUGGCUUUGAGAUAUUUUCAAUAUGAGAGUAGCUUGCCGCACCCAUGGGGCCAAUCAUUCAUCACUCUUAUACCUAAGAAGCCUAAUCCUUUCCGUGUUUUCGAUUUUAGGCCCAUAUCUCUUUGUAAUGUUUGCUACCGCCUUCUUGCCAAGCUUUUAGUCAACCGCAUGAAACCUUUACUCCCAAAUCUCAUUAGCCCUAAGUAGUCGACUUUUGUUUCUGGCAGGUCUAUUUCUACCAAUACUUGGAUGGCUCAGGAAAUCAUCCACAUGCUUCAGACUAAGAAAACCGAUACUCCUUACAUGCUUAUCAAAAUUGACAUAGAAAAGGCCUUCGAUCGCUUGAGUUGGGCGGCUAUCCUUAAAGUUCUUUCUCUUAUGAAUUUUCCUCUGUUAUGGAUUAAUUGGAUUAAGGCUUGCAUCACCAGCCCUUCAUUUUCUUUCUUACUUAAUGGUCGAGUAUAGAUUGGUUCAAUCCCUACUGUGGCAUUCGCCAAGGUGACCCUUUAUCCCCAUACCUGUUCAUCAUGUGUGCCAAUAUUCUUUCGGCCCUUCUAAACAUUUCUAUGCGUGAUAAUGCUUUGGAUGGCUUCUCGGUGCGCGGCAGUGAUCCUAUCUGCCACCUAAUGUUUGCCGAUGACAUUAUCAUUAUUACCAAAGCCAUUGUUGCUAAUUGUCAAAAAGUCCUUAACAUCUUUGGUACCUAUCAUUCCCUCACUAAUCAGAAGAUUAAUGCUACCAAAUCUGAAUUUUUCCUACCUAUUUGGACCCCCCAAGCUAUUAUCAAUUUGAUCCGUCAAACUCUUGGCUUUAGGCAUGGAUCCUUCCCUUUUCGCUACCUCGGCAUUCCGCUUUCCCCCUUUAAACUUCGUAUUAGUCACUUUAAAGACAUCAUUGACAAGACUAGCUCCAAACUUGCUGGUUGGAAGCGCAACUCUCUCUCACAAGCUGGAAGAAGCACCUUAAUUAACUUUUCCAUCUCUGCUAUGCCUUCCUAUGCGUUGACCAACACUAUCCUUCCUCUUGGUGUUGUUGACCAAAUUUCUAAAAUUUCUCGCUUCUUUUUGUGGGAAAGGCACAAUGCUAGUCAGGGUUUUCAUCUUAAUGCUUGGCACACUAUCACUUCCAAAAAAAUUAAUGGUGGCCUUGGCAUGAGAGAUCUUAGAAGAUCUAGAAUUGCCUUUCUUGGAGUUAAAGCCUUUCACCUUCUUGCUAACAGAGAUACUGCCCUUUCUUAGUUUAUUAACAGAAAUUAUGGUUCUAUCCACCCUUGGACUAUUGCUAAACCUCGGACUAAACAUUCUCCUUAUUAUGCUGCUAUAUCCAACUCCAUCCAUGAUCUGAGGGGUGGUAUCAUCAAGUCCAUUGGCAAUGGCUUUUCUACUCUGAUUUUGCUUGAUCCUUGGAUUGAUUAUAUUCCUCUUGCUUGGAAGCCUACCUAUAUUAAUAUGGACUUUCCUUUUGGUAACAAGAAAGUCAAAUGGCUCAUUCAUCGUCAUUCUUGGAAUCUCAAUCGUCUAAAUGCCUGCUUUGGGGAGCUCCUUAUCCAAUGGAUUAUUACUAUUCCACUCCCUACAUCUAUAUCCCCUGACUCUUGGAUUUGGACCCCUAGACCCAAUAGUAAAAUUUCCUCAAGUUCCGUUUAUAGAUAUCUCUCACCUGACCCUUCUAAUGACUUUCAUUAUUGGCUUGGUUGGAGGACUAUUUGGGAGCUAUCUAUUCCCCCCAAAGUUAAAAUCUUUACUUGGAAAGCUAUGUGGGUUAAGCUCCCAACUAAAUCCUGGUUGCACAUACUCUAUCCGGAUAGUGAUCCUACUUGCCCCCUAUGCAAUCAAGAGAAUGAAACUGUUUCCCACAUCCUCGCUCAUUGUCCUAUAGCCCAAAAUUUCUGGAAUUGCCUAUGCAAUUUGGUGAGCUUUCAUCUACAGCACUUCAACCUUUGGUGCGAGGGUUCCUGGUUAAAUGACGGCCUUUUGCUCGAUAGUGAUGAAAGAAGAUUCCUUCACUCUAUUAUUUUAAAUGGCUUCUGGACCCUUUGGAAGCAUAAAAAUGGGUUUCUCUUUGAGAGAAUAAGAGACUCCAAUCAAGUCUUGGCUCAUCGCACUUUGUCUAGAACUGUCGAAUAUUUUAAGCCUACUUCUCCAAGGCAAUCUAGGAUUAGCCGAACCAUUGAAUGGCAUCCGCCUCCCAGCAGUUGGACUAAGAUUAAUUCUGACGGUUCUUAUAAUCCUACAUAUGGUAUUGGAGGAGCUGGCUUUAUUUUUUGUAAUUCUGAUGGUCAAUUUAUCCUUGCAGGUGCUGGGAGACUUUGUUGUAAUUUAGUUCUUGAUGCCGAAGCCAAAGCCACUUGGUAUGCUCUUACUAAGGCUGUUAAGCGGCAGUUGGACAAUGCAAUUUUGGAGACCGAUUCGAUGUUCCUGGUGAACAUCUUAACGAGGAAAACAGAGAUCCCUUGGAAGCAAAGAUCUAUCUUUACUGACUGUUUCUCACUUUUGCACUCAUUUUGUUCAUUUUGUAUUAGUCACAUCCCUCGCGAAGCUAAUCAGGCAGCUGAUUGGCUUGCGCAUUUUGGUAGAUAUGCUAACUCCUUUACCUUUUGGGAGGAUAGUCAUCCUCUAGAACUGCAAAAGUUUUUGUUACUAGAUGCACCAAACUGCAUUGUUACACAUCCUGUGCUUGCUUAACUUUUAAUAAAAGUCUAUUUCCAAAAAAAAGAAAAGAAAAAUAGAUAUUUAACUAUACAUUUCACUUCCAUGCUUUCUCAUGCUAAAGUAUAAUGAAAAAAAAUAUCGUAUGCAAUAAAUUCUACUAAUAUAAGUCAAUUACAAUAUAUUUUCUAUAGUUUUAUCGGUAAACAAAAAAAAAAAUUUCUAUAUGCUUUUAUUUUAAUUUUAUUAUUUUAUUUUUUAGGGUGUAUUUGUUUUGCCAAAAACUGAAUUUUGGGUUGAAGUGUGCUUUCGGUUAAACUAGAGUUUACAUAAAAAUAACUUCUCUUUAGUUGUUUGUUUUAUUGGCUGUGAAAGUAACGUUUUUUUUAGUUUUAUUAUUUGUUUAGUAGGAAAUAAAUAGCGUAAAAUAAUAUUGCUGUCUUUUAUAUAACUUGAUAAAUAUAAAUUAUAAUGUAAUAAAAAAUAAAAAAUAAUAUAAGUAAUAAAUUAUAUUAUAUAAUAAAAAAACUAUAUAAAUUAAUUAUAAUAUAAUAAAAAAAUCCUUCUUUUGUUUUUUACUAUAUAUAUUUUUCCAGUAUUUUCUUCCUACAAUUGACUUCGUCCUAUCCCGAGGUGAAGUAAAGUUACGGCAUUCUGACAAACUUAAGUUUCGGGCAUAAUAAUUUUAUGGUAAACCAAACACGUUGUUUAUUGUCCGAAAAUUACUUUUUUCAUUCUGUUGCUCCCAAACAAACAAGCCAUUAGCUUUAAAUAAGCUUCAAUACCAAAUUGACUUUAGAGUAAUGGUGACAGAGUGCAUCAGAGAUAGACUACCAUAGCUAUAGGAAGUAGAGAAAGAGAAUAGCAACAACAAAAAAUAAAUGAUGAGAAGAAAAAAAAAAAAAAGUAGAAGAAAAAGAACCCACCAAAUCAUAAUAUACCUCCUCUGCAAAUUUUCGAUCUAAGGGUUCCACUUUGGGUGACCAGAUCGUCUUCACCUCAGCUAGCUUUAAUUGAUUGCCACUGGUUAGAUGUGACCUUCUCGACGGCUUUGAUCUGCACGAGCCUCGACGCUGACCAAGCAGUGGUAGAUGGCUGGAUGGCUGCAUGCUCCACCACGGCCUAUUUCCUUUUUUUUUUUUUUUUUUUUUUUUUUGAGAGAUAGAUAGCACGCUACCCGCUUCGUUUAUUUCAUUUAGAAAUAAACUUAGCUGAAAAUAUGAAUCAACUAGGAUUCGAACUUGGGUCUCAGGUACCAACCAUCAACCACGACCUCUUUCCUUAUUGCAUGCCCAUGGAUUCGAAGCUGAAGCCAAUGCCAAAGCCAAAGCUAAAGUUGAAGUAUCAUUCGUGAUGGGAGAAGAGGCGAGAAGGAGACAGAAAAUGACGAUGAACAAAGCUUGGGCGGUUGAUAGCAGAUCGAGUAGCAUUUAGAUCUAGGCAUGGUAAAUUUAGUACUAAAAACAACAAAGGAGGGUAGCGCAAACAUUGAAACAUUGAUGGAGGAAGCGGCGAUGAGAAGAAGGAAUGACAAAGCGUUGAGUAGAGAAACGGUCGAAAGAAGGGAAAAAGCUAGUAAUAAAAAGAAGGUAGUGCAAGAUAGAGCCCAUACCUAACAAAAAAGGUAGGGCUGUUACAUGGAUAAAUUUUUAGAGAUUAAUAUAGAGUUAUUAUAGAAUAUAUUAUAGAUAAUAAUAAUAAUAAUUAUUAUUAUUAUUACUAAUAAUAAGAAUAAGUUUUAUCAACUCUCUGCUAUCCAGUAUUAUGUCAACAUUGACAUUAUUAUAAAAUUAUUUCUGUAGAUCAAAUUUAUUUAAAAGAUUAAUUAUAAAAUAAAUUAUUUUAAGAUGCCCAAAUGCCAAAAAAAAAGAGAAAAAAAGACCAGUAUAAGUACAGCGCAAACAAAGCGACUUUGAUCGGAGAUUCUAAUGCAGUAUAGUCUUCUCCUAAAAUUUUAUUCUAAAAUUUAUCCAUUAAAUUUUUAUUUGUAAAUAUAGUCUUAUGGUGGAGGAAGAAAGAAAUAUUAGUGAGAGCGGUAAUCACCACAUUGAUUAAAUUUUUUACAGUCAUACAAAAGCAGUGAAUGAUCUACCGUUUUUAAAAAAAGAUAAAUUGUUCGCCGUUUUCUUCCUUUUUCUAUUCUUUUCUAUUAUUUCUACAAUAGUUUUAGGAAAAGUUAUGAGUACGGUGAAUGACGUCUAUAUUAUUUAUUUUUUCAAAAUCUCAAUAUGAUGUGGUACAGUUAUUUUUUAAAAAAAUUAGUUUUAAAAUAAUUGUAAAAAUGGGAAGGAUUAUUAAUAAAAAUAGGGGAAACUUCAAAUACCCUAUGUGAUUUCGCACUUUUUCACUUUAGUACCAUGUGGUUUAAAGUGUAUCAAGUUAGUAUCAUGUGAUUUCGCACUUUCUCAUUUUAGUACCCUUUGGUUUCAAGUGUAUCAAGUUAGUAUUCUGUGGUUUUACACUUUCUCACUUUAGUACCCUGUGGUUUAAUAUUUCAUUAAAUUAUAUUACCCGAAAUGGAUAAUAAAAAGAGAAAAUUGAAACCACAUGGUACUAACUUAAUACAUUUGAAAUCACAGGGUACUAAAGUGAAAAAGUGUGAAAUCAUAUGAUACUAAUUUGAUAUAUGUUAAAUCAUAUGGUAUUAAAGUGAGAAAGUACGAAACUAGGGUAUUUGAAGUUUCCCCUCAAAAAAAUUCACUUCGAUCACCGUCUCACUCUUCAUCGUCUUCUUCGACGCCACUUACCUCUCCUUCCCGAAGAAGAAGAAGAAGAAGAAGAAGAGGAAUAUGGCGCCCAAACCCGACAAUGUCGAAGGUACCAUCUCCUCCUCCUCCUCCUCUUUUUCUCCCCCAUUUUUUGCCCCCCUUAUUUACGAACUUUUUCUCCGAUUUCAUCGUCUCUAACCAAGCUUCUUCGCCUUCGAAUUUGGACCGCAGGAAUCGUUCUCAACUUCGUGAACGAGGUAACCCUAGAUCUGAUUUAAACUAUUUUCUUGUUGUUUUCGAGUUGAGUUUUAUUGGAAAUUAUUCGAGUUCGGGGUUUUGGUCUCGUUGACAAAGCUACAUUUUCUUUCGAUUCAAAACCAGUAGUUUAUGCUCGAGCUCAAUAUCAUGAAGCAAAUGUUUGGUAUCUCCCUCGAGGGGUAUUUGUUUCAGGAGUAAUAUGAACAUUGUGUUAAUCUGGGAAUAGAUAACACUCAAUUAGAUAUGUGCAGUUAUGCUUCUUUGUGAUCCGAGAAUGGUAAUGUUUUCCAUAGAGUAAAGCUGGAACACUUAUAGAAGUAUAUGUGGCUAUUUUGCUUCCACUUUGUUUUGAUGCUUGGCAUCCAAAUCAACGAUUAGCGCUGUGUAACAUGAUCUAGGCUUUUUGAACUUCGUUGAAACUGAAUUUCACAAUUAUACGACAUCGUUUAACUAGUGAUCAAGUGGUCCCAAGGAAUCACUUGAAUACUAGUCAAAUGGUGUUGCAAAAUCACGAAAUUCAGUCUUUAGAAAGUUCAGAUAGCCUAGAUCAUGAUUAAUGGUGCCAAUCACGAUCGUCUAUUCAGAUGCCCCAUUAACGAAAUGAUGCAUUCUAGAAGCAUUCUAGCUUCUCUCUCUCUCUCUCUCUCUCUCUCUCUCUCUCUCUUAUAUUGUUAUGGUGUUUUUUUUUAUUCUCAUCAUGUAUAGUGGAUCUAAGUACUUAGACUCUGACAUGAAAAUUGCAUGUAUGCUAUGAGUUUCACAUAUCUUGUUCAAUUUAGAUGUGCAUCAGGACAUACAGAACAACGUGCUCUAAAAAUGAGUACAAAAUAAUGGUUGUUAAGGAUCAAAUCUUGGGAAUUUGAGGGUAACUUGAUCUAGGAUUCAAGGCCUAUGUUCUCAGCAACUUUGGAGUUGCUAUUUUGUUCAAUAGGACAAGAAAUCCUGCUUGAUUUGGCUGAUGUAACAAGAGUAGUAAUGGAGCAUAUACACUAUCUAGAAAACUGGACCUUGAAUUUUGAGAAAGAGAUAAGCCUCUUAUUGUAAACCAGCAUUUUAGAUUAGACAAGUUAGGGUUUUGAUGUGACAAAUAAGUGGAUUAAAGAGUGAACUAUAUUAUCCUUUUAUUUUUCUUGCACCAGUGCUUUAUCCUAUUUAUUUAUAUAUUAUUUUGCAAUUUUGAUAUCGUAUCUACAACUUGAAUGUUCUCUCUGUAUUAUUUGAAUUGACAGAUAUGUUGAUAAUCAAUUUAUGCUGUUUGGAGCCUAUUUGCACAAAUUUUGUUGCAUUCUCUUUUCUUUUUGGGAUUUUUUUGGUUGACAUUCUCCGUCAUGUUGACGAGUUGCUUAUCAUCAUACACUUCAAUCCUUGAGCAAACUUCACGAAAUAUCUUCUUAGUUAGUCAGCUAAACUUUACUCAAUAGUGGCAUACUGUAAUGUUAGUAUUUGCUUUUAUGGAGUGACUGGUAACUCAUUUUCUUUUCACUUCGUGCAUACCGUUUGUUAUUGUCCUACCUAGAUAGCAGGCUUUUAGAAUAGUAUUUCUAGCUGUAGCUUGUAAGACUCUGUCUUUUGGUAUAGCUAAUGCUUCUUAAUUGGUUUUUUCUUUUUCUUUUUCUAUUUAAGGAUUGAUCCUUAAAUGGUAAGUACAUACCUUCCUUAUAAUUAUUGGUUAGUUUUUCUUCUUUCCUUUGCACAUUAUUGCACCAUCAGUUAUGAUCAGCUGUUAAAUAGUAGUUCUUUGUUCUUCUAAAAAGGUGAUAUAGCACUCCAUUUCUAAGGAUACCUUGAGUAUCAACACGAUUUUCUAUUGAUACUAUAUGUUAGCUUUUUUAUAAUGUCUUUGAAGAAAAGUAUUGGUAAUCUUUUUGCCCAGAAGAUCUGUUUAUUACCACUUGCUGUCAGAGUUACUUAUUUCUGUCGUGGGUUGUGUCUGUCACAAGACCAUAUUGUUAAUCUGAAAAGAAACUUUGCAAUUUGUUGUUUGCUUGCCUUUUGCUUUUUCUCUGCUCUCUUUUGUAUGCCUUAGUCAUUUUUCUCCAUGUUGCAUUAUUAUGUUAUUUACUCCUCUGGAGCUAUUGAUGCCAUAUAUAUGUUGAAUAUUCUAAAGUGAUGGUUGAGUUCUGGAGAAUUCUUAGUGUAUCUUCAAUUAUGUAGCAUCCAAGUUCUUGCAAAUCAUAUUCCCUUUUUUCUGCACCACCUCUUGUGCAGGCUUAUAUCUUUUCUAUUCUUCUUAUCAUCCAUCUAUCAAUAUGCACUAUUUAAGUUGGAGAAACUGAGUCUAAUUUAGUCUUUUCUCUUGCUUUACCUUCUUCUGAUAGAUGGGACUUCCCCAUGGUUCUAACUCUUUAUAUGGAAAGCUAAUUGUGGUUAGAGAGCUCAAACAGGGAAUGAGUUGUUACAUAGGAAUGCGUCAAGGGAAGGGUGUGGGGGUUGUGAAUGAGGAAGAGAGGAAAAAGAAAGAUGAGAAGAAGAAAAGAAAUACAAAUCCAGAGCUUAUGAAUUUUCACCGCAAGACCAUUUCUUAAUACAAAGUAAUCACGCCAUUGUUGAUUUUGGUUUGAUAUUCUCAAAAUCAAUCAACGAAUCCUAACGUUUUCUCCCGUGAUUGCAAGUCUCCCAAUCAGUUAUCUUGUGUUUAUAACUUUAAGAGAUCUUACUUUUUUCUUGUGAGAUGAUAUCUUAUUUCUAGAGCUUUAUUCAAAAACAGAAAGUGAAGUCACAGUGUAAUUACACAAACUUACUGUUAUUUUUUGUUAUGCUUAGUCUAUCUAAUCACCAAAAUAAUAUAACACACUGGUCUUGCUGUGCCAACUUUGAUAUUCAAUGCCAAGUCCUAUUUUUGUAAGAUAGAUAUGUUCUUUAUUCUGAUUAACAAUUGGAUGCUCUUCAGUUGUUUGAUAUACUGUAAGAUUAGGCUGACAACUCAAAAGUAGGACAUCGAAUGUGUUUAUCUUCACUUGCUUAUUAUCCUUCUUAUAAUCCUUCUGUAGUUUAUAAUUGGGAUAAUUGCCUAUAUACCCCUCAAAAGUUCUAAAAUAUAUGAUAUAUCCUUACUUUUUUUUUGUUUCAAAUAUACCCCUCGUAUAUUUCUCAAUUACUCAAAAAUACUCCCGCUGUUAGUACCCAUUAAGUUAUCUCAUGUUAAACCUAGGUUAAAUUUCUACCAGAGUUAAAAAAGUCAAAAUACCUGUUUCGCCCCUAACUUAAGGGCAAACAGGAAAAGUUGGUAACGGUAAAAGGGUAUAUUUGAAAAGGAAGAAGUCAAAAUACCUCUUUUUGCCCUUAAUUUAAGGCAAAUAAGAAAAGUUGGUGACGGUAGAAGGGUAUAUUUGAAAGGGCAAAAUAGUAAUUUUAUAGAAAUAACUGUUGUUCCUAACAGUUCACUAACAGAAUUUAACUUUAGGGGUACAUUUGAAAGGUUGGAACCAAGGUUUAAAGUGCCGUGGCACGGGGGCGUGUCGCUACGUCCUUGGCACGGUACGGCACGGGCACGCUUGCGUGCCGACACGUGGCACGCUUGCAUGCCGACAGAUACGCACGACCUCCUACUGGCACGCUUUGGCACGAAUUUAUUUAAGUUUUUUUGGUUCCAGUAAGCUUUUAUAAUGUUAUUUUGAAAGAUUUAGGCAAGUUAUUAUUAAUUUUUGCUAUGUAUAGCUUAUUAUACUCAUCAAUUAACAUGCAUGUAAGCAUUUUGUAUAUAAAGUACAACUAUACCUGAUGUAGAAUAUAAAUUAAAAUUCUUUUAUUUUUAUUUUUUUUUAUUUGAAAAGUACAACUAUACUUGCUGUAACAAUUGAAAAUUCUUUUGUUUUUAAUUUUUUUAUAAUUUAAAAAAUUAUAACAGAUAAAAUGAUAGAAAAUUUUAUUUUUUCUAAAAAUGUUUCAAAAUCUAUAUAUUGAUUCGAUUAGGAAGUAUAUAAUAACUAGAACAACUAGAAUAGUACCGCAAUUACAUCCAUAUUUUUUUUAUUCUUUUAAAAAAUAUCUAAUCAAAAUUUGUUUAGGAGAUCAAUUUUUGUUCCCCUGAUUCAUCGAAAACUUCGCGGUGCGACAAAUUUUGACAAAAUAAUUUGCGAAGAAAAAAUGGAUGUCUGUGGUGGAAGUGGAGGGCUCUGAUUUAUCAACUAAAAAUUUGCUUUUAUAUUGUUAAAUAAGAAGUUAAAUUAUAAUUUUUAAUUUAACAAAAGAAAAAAGAAAAAGUCAAAAGAAAAAGCCAAAAGGCAAAAAAAAAAAAAGGCAUCAGCCAAAAAGAAAAAAAAAAAGUUGACAAAAAGACAACACAAUGUCAAAAAAAUAAAAGAAAAGUGAACAAAAGGCAAUAUAGAUGGCCGGGCGAAGGCUCUGUAUCCCAGAGAACAAAAAAAAAGAGACAAAACCAAAAAAAAAAAAAGCCAAAAAAACUUAAAAAAAAAAAAAAGCCGGCACGCGGCACAGUGCCGCGGCACAUGGCCGCGUGCCGCUUUGUCUCGAGCGGCACGCGGCUUGUGCCGCGGCACCCAGGGGGGGUCCGAGACCACCCCUGUACCGUGCCCCCUUCUUGGGGGCACGGUACGGCACGCCCCGUGCCGUAAGGCACGGGGCGGCACCUUCAACCUUGGUUGGAACGUUAAAAGGGUAUUUUUAAUAUUUGCCUUCUAGGAGAGGUAAAUAAGAAAGUCGGGAAUCUUGUAGGGGUAUAUAAGCAAUUGCUCCAUAAUAAUUUUGGAAGCAUCAUGAGAAUCUGACUGUAUCUUGUUUUUCCUGGUUAUCAUCGUGAAAUGGUUCAUUAACUUCUUAUGCUGUUCUUUUGCCAGCAAAAUAGGCCUUUAAAUUCUCAAAAUGUCGCUGAUGCAUUGCAAAAGUACAAUCUUAAGAAAACUGGAGUCCAGAAAGCGCUGGAUGCAUUGUGUGAUAGCGGACAAAUUUCCUUCAAAGAGUAUGGUAAGCAGAGGAUCUAUCUUGCUCGGCAAGAUCAAUUCAAGAUACCCAAUGGGCAAGAGCUCGAUCAGAUGAAGAAGGAUAAUAGCAAGCUACAGGAAGAACUUGAAGCUCAAAAGAAAGCCCUAGCGGAGGUUGAGGCUGGUAUGGUUCAGUGCAAUUUGUUCCUUAGUCAUUGUAGAAAAUAUUAUAGACAUAUAUUGCUGAAUCUAUUUGCAUAUGUUUAUCUUUGCACAUAUUGAUUCCUCUCGUUAAAUAACAUUUUCUUGUACAAAACCAACUUCCAGCAUGAAAUAAAAUGUCUUAACUUCCAGCAUGAAAUGGAUUGUUUAACCUUAGAGUUUAGCAUUUAAAUAGAGAACUGCAUUUUCUUGGGAUAUAUAUAUGAAAAUUUAGAUAUUACGUGGUGGACAGUGUAAAUAUAUAAUUCGCAGGGAUAUAUAUGUAAAACUCUGUAAACUACCUAUACAGAAUUGCAAUUCAAUAUAUAACUCUUUCCACAUUCUAGUGCAGAAAUUCGAGCACUCCAAUCAAGCUUGACUUUGGGAGAAAUUCAUGCUAAAGAGGCAAAAUUACGAAGCGAGGUAUGCCUUGAAAAUUACAUUUGAUACUCUUGAUCUGCAACAAGUAUGUGCUUUGAAACCAAUAAUAAAAUUAGAAACAAUUUUAUCAAUCCAGGUCCUGGAAAUGGAAGACAAGCUUGUGAAAUUGCGUAGUGGAGUUGUUUUGGUCAAACCAGAAGAGAAGAAGGUAGUAGAAGAAUCAUAUUCUGAGAAAAUUAAUCAGUGGAGAAAGCGAAAGAGGAUCUUCAAAGAACUAUGGGAUGCGAUAACAGAGAAUUCACCCAAGGAUGUAAAAGAAUUCAAGGUUUUUCAUUUGCAUCAUCGUUCUCUUUCCUUGUAUUCUGUGAGAAAAUGUGCCAGACCCUCUUGAACCACUCAGUUUCUACAGAUGAUCACUCAAACUUGAAAAGAGAAAAAAAAUCGCCCGUUUUACUCGACCAUCUACCUCUGAUUUUACAAUAAUGGCUAUUGGCAUGCGAAUAUCACGUGGAAAUCGAAAGUUUACGUCUUACCCUUCUUUUGAACUGUCGCGGUCGGUGUUGGAGCUGCUGAGUCAUUUGCAGUUUAUGUGAUUGGCAGUUUUUAACUAAUUUGGCAUAUGUAGAUAAAUUUUUUUAUUAGCUUGUUUUAUCAUUUGUAAUUUUUUAAGUUUAAUUUUCCAUAUGUAAAGGUGCAGUGGUUCAGGGGGUUUGAGGCAUUCUUCCCUAGAUUUUUUUUCUGUGUUUCCUGAGCAAACUUUUGGCUAUAAACUGGGGCUUCUUUGUACAUGGUUGUCUUUUCAUUAAGCAAGAUUGUUUUUAUACAUGAACAUCUUUUUUGUUCUUUACCUUCUGAAUAACAGUUAUCUCCUUGCAGGAGGAACUUGGUCUCGAGUAUGAUGAAGAUGUUGGGGUCAGCUUACAAUCCUAUAGUGACCUGUUGAACCUCAGUAAAAAGAGAAAGACAUCACAGUAAUACAGCAUUUUAUUUGCAACUAAAUUUCAACUCAUAUAUGUUCCAAAGUUUUUAAAGGUAGGGUAAGUGUGUAUCUUUUAUGUAUGAUUUAUUCUUCUUUUUUCGUCCACUUCUGUUAGCAAUGAUCGCCGAAUCAUCUAUCAACACUUGAUUCCUUUUAAUUAGCCCCACUUUUCUCUGUACGGUUAGUUCCAUACUCUUAAGCAAUUGACAAGAUUCAGCAUGCAGCAUACAGAAGCAAAUGCAUAUUACUGAUUUUUCUGGAAGAUGAUAGAGCCAUUAAUGGAUUGGUCAGUAGGGCCUAGGCUUCAUCUCAGCCUGAUCCUUGAGAAUGUGGCACGACUGCAGCACUAUACUGCUAAAUCUGUUAAAAAUAUCAAAGUAAUUCCAAUGUCCAAAUAAGUAACAGAUUAAAGAACUAAUAAAAUGAUGUAUAAAAAGAUGACUUGGUAAAAGAAUGUAAUGAUGUCUCUACUAUGUAGGAUCAUAUGUGCCAAAAGUUAGAGAACAAAUAAUCAAAUUUGUAACAUAUUUUAAAUAGCUAGUAAUGUGCAUAGUGUGCCUAAUUAGUCAAACUUAAUUUUAUGCCUGAAGUCAAAUGACUUCUCAAGAAGUCAUGAUGCAUCGUAGUUGACGUGUUAAGAGAGGUUCCUUGUUAAAUGAGGCUCAUAUAGGACAGCAAACAAAGUUUUUUCAUGCCCUUUCAUGCCUCUCAAGUAUUCAUAUGAUUUCAACUAGUUGGUCUUGGCUUUAUUGAACUGUUAGGAUUAUUUUAGUCUGUUACGAUAUAUGUAGCAAUAUUUUUUUAGUAUUAUAUAUUACUACUGUCCAUAUAUAGUAUAGGGGCUAUAUGGUAUUUUGGCUGUAUUAUCGCUGGGACAGGUUGCCUUGUAUACACAUUCUGUACUAUUUAUAUUCAUUAAUGAAACCCUAGAGGGUCAAGCUUUUUUUACUCUUUUUUCAGGACAUCAAAAUAGGAGGUCCUAAGUUCGAAUCCCACCAGGCUCUUAGCGUUAUUUAACUUCCUCCCAUUUAAUUUAAGUCCGCGUCUUUCGCCUACUAAAAAAUCUCGAGCCCAGAUGAGAGGGGAAGUGUUGAAUAUAAAUGUUAAAAAUACCAUUCACUAAUAGCUUUAUCUUUUGGAGAAUGACAGUUGUUUUAUAUAAUUUAGGUCAAGCUCUUUUGCUCUUCUUUCACAAACUUCGAAUUAUUAUUAGUGGCAGGAUAGGGGUCUUGCAUAAUGGUUAUAACUUAUUUCCUGCCAAAUGACGAAGUUCUGUUAGAGGUAUCAUUAUAGGGAACACUGGUUAGGGUGAGUCUAAUUGUAUGAGAUUUCUUUUAAGUUUGCGCGCACACAUCACUGCUAGAUGGUUUACUUUGUUUUUAUGGACAGAGGGAAACUGGUCAAAUGAUUAGCAGUAUGAAUCAGGAGAGUUUAAUAGAAGACUAACGCCUAUUUGCUUCCGUUUGCAAUAUGACCUUGAACGACAUGUCUCUUUAGACAAAAUGUUCUUUCCCAUUUAUUGUUUUCUCUGAUGCACUUUAAGCGCCUUGUUUAUCCUUUUGUUGUUGUUUAUGUAUCGGAUUCUUCAAAAGGUUUUGACGGUUGAGACCAUUGACGUCAGGCUGAUUUUCGAUUUUCUGAAUUGCAGAGCACUUGUUUAGUUAUAGUGUGAUUUUACCAUGCUGAUAAAUCAUCUAUUUCUUGAUGCAUAUGUUUGUCAAUGAUAGUAUGGGGAGUCUAGAGUGCUGAUUUACAUUUCUUGUAAGUCGGAAGAUUUAGAAUCCAAAAUGCAGCUUAAGUCCCGAGGAAGAACUUUUUUUCUAACUAUCGAUGAAGUAAUGCAUUACUUAAUGAGUUGUUUGUGCAUUGAUAUUUUGAUGUUAUAAACUUAUAAAACUUCUUCAUUGGAUUUCUUACUUGAAAUGCUACCAUAGAUCCACUAAACUUCGCUGGUAAUGCCUCAUGUACUUCAGAAAAAUCCUGUGCUGCCUCACUGUUGAAUGCUUAUUCGGAUUAAAGUUUAAUUGACUGAUCUUGUGGGAACAUCCUUCGGUAUCCUCUGGUAAGGAGUUUUUUCUAGUAACUAUAAUUUUCUGACCAUUAGGUCUGAGGAGUAGAUUAAUGAUUUUGAGAUGAGUUUUCUGAUCUACAGCGUUAGCUAAUGAUAAUUUUGAUAACUUGCUCUAUAAUUUGUACAACUUUUCCCUUUUUUUUUUUUUUUUUUUUUUUUUUUUUUUUGUUGAGAGGGAGAGAGAGAGAAAGAUGGUAAGCUAUCCUGCUUCGUUUACUUCUUUAGAAACUUUGCUGAUAAUGUGAAGUAAUUAGCUUUCAAACAUGAGACCUCAGACACUGACCAUCAAAUCCUUUAUCACCUGCGCCAUGAACAUUCAAUUAUAGUUUGUAUGCUUGAUUUUGGUAUUUGUUCAUUACUUGGUAAACUAAAGGGGGCAAUGUCUGAUUCCCUGAUAAGGGUUGAGGGUUGUAACAUUUGAGUUCUUCCAUUUGAAGCCGACUUGAAAUAAUAGUGGUGGACCGCUGAGGGUGGUGGUCAGAUAGGAAAAACAUGAUUACGCGUGUUCUUUAGGGAUUGUAAAAUUUCUCAUCAAAUUCAUCAGGCCACUUUCCAUAGUAGUCCAUAAAUUGGAUUUUUGUAGGUGGUCGUUGUACCAUGUAGCAAGUCGGUUCCUCUACUUUUUUUUAAUCUGCAUCAACGUUUAUGUAUAUUUUUAUAUUUUACUUUGGUCGGGACACAUUAAAAAGAAAAUUAGACUUCUAUUAUAAACUGAUAUUUAACCGUAUUUGAAGAAAAUUGAAAUAAGUGAAUCAUAUACGAUAGGAACGUAAAAUGAUCAUUUUGUUAGAAAAAUUAUUUUUUGUUUCUGACGUUCAGUGGUUAGGGACUAGUUGUCUACUAUGCAGCAGUUAUACAACAUUAUCUAUAUUCAGUCAAUUAUCUAUAUUUUAUUAUUCUUUAAGAGAAAAAUAUAAUGAACAUAUUCUUCUAAAAAUUAUGAUGAGAUGGAUGAAUGUUAGGAAAGUUAUUUGAUUUAUUGGGGACACCACAUUAAUAAUAUAACUGCUGUAUUUUAAACUUUUUUGUCGUAUGGUGAUAAUAAGUGGACUAUACUUGCUCUUACUCAGCAAUGCUAGAUUUGCAAUACAUUUUGAGUUGUAGAGACCAUUCAAGAACUAGUUUUUUUUUUUAUUUAUCAUCAAUUAUUUUUAGUGCAAAAAUUUAUUUUGAAUAUUUUAAAUCUCAAGGAGAGGGAUUACAACCGGUGGACGACGAGGGUUGUUUACUUAUCAUUUCUCUUCUUACCUUUUUGAUUUUUUUUAUUUUGCAAUUUUUUUCUAUGGGAAGGAAUGUUAUUGUUUGGAACUCUAGGCUCUAUUUCUUUCCAAUUCGCGUAAAAAAUAUAUAGUGGUUGGUAGUUAAGUAGCGUGAUCAAAUACAUAGGUGAAAUAUGUUAUUUUAACAAAUUAUAAAUAUCAAAUAUUUUUAGGAUUCAAAAUCAAGCUAACUGAAAAUUAAAAUAAAAAAGAAAGAAAGAUCAUAUCUCUUUUCUUUCACACUUCAUUAAAUCUCUCUCUCUACCAUCAAUCCACUUCUACUAAUUUUUCUCCCAAGUCACCAUUUCUUUAGAUCAACGAACCAUCUCAUUCUUCUUUUGCACUUUUUAACCCUCUCUCCACUUUUCUCCCCCGCUUCUCCACCAUUUUCUUCAUCUAACUCUCACUUUGCUAUUAUCCUAUCUACUAAACAACUCAGAUAGAGAGGUGGGUUUGGGUUCUCUCUCUCUCUCUCUCCCUCUCUCUCUCUCUUACACUCCCCCUCUCUCUUUUACAGUCAAGGCACUUCCUAUAUUGAGCUUUCUAUGCACACCAGACUACCUCAUGGAGAUCGUUUCAUCCACCACCACGCCCCUCAUUGUUGAUUGAUGAGAGGUAAUUAACCGCUCACCGCAAUUCCUACGUCGUCACUGACUACCGCUGUCAGGCCAUCGUUGAUCUCGGAGUGGUGCAGCGCUUCCAUUGCUGUUGUCGCCAUUUACCGAGGACAAGUGGGCGCCCAUCAUUGACCAAUUAAGGAGGUGGUCACCUGCCUGCUGUUGCUGCGUCAAUGAUCGUGACGACUAUCUGCUGGCACUUCCUCAUUGGCGGUAGCGGAGGCCACCACUGCCGACGACCGCCAUUGCUGGCGCUUAGCCGUGGGUGGUAGAGGAGACUGACAACGAGGAUGGCCAUCAACUUAGUGCUUCGCCGUCAGUAGUCGAGGAGGACUACGACGACAAUCAUCUGCUUCGCGCUUUGCUGUCGGCGGUAGGGAAGAACGGUGAUGACGACCAUCCACUUGGCGCUUCGCCUUUGGCAGUAAAGAAGGCCACCGGCACCGACGACAAUCUGCCUGGCACAUAACUGUCGGCAGUUGAGAAGGGCGACGGCAACAACCAUCCACUUGAUGCUUAACCAUAAGUGGAAAGCGCUAAUCAAAUUAUUGAUUGCCAUCCUUUUCAAUUGGCUUUUUGUCAAAGACAACUCAUGCGCGGUGUAUAGUUUAUAUGUGUAUGCUGAGUGUUAGACAAUGCCAAAAAAAAGUUUGUGCAUAGGACAUUGCUCAUGUGCCUGCGCCAAGUGAUUAGCAAAAUGCCAAAGACAGAAUUUUGCAUAACCUAAUGCCAGAGAUAAUGUUAUCAUUAUACAUUGCUCAUGCGUGCCUACCAAAUGCUCGAUGAAAUGCCAAAGAUCCGUGAUUCAAAUACGCAUAUCAAAUGAUUGGUGGAUUGUCCGAAUUCACUUGUGCAUAAGCAAGGCUCAGCAAAAUAUCAAACUCCACUUGUGCAUGAUGUAUAGUUUGUGUGCACGUGCCAAGUGUUCGACGAAAUGCUAAGGAAGGUUUAUACAUGAUGAAUAUAGCUCAUGUAUGCAGUAAUUGUUUGAAGAAAUAUCUUGACAGAAUACUAAUCAUAUGUUCGCGAUUGGUUGUAUUAAUUGGUUGCAUUAACAGAAAGAGGGAAAGAUAUGAUGAGUGUUGUUUUUUUUUUAGUUAUAUUUAUUUUUGUAUACUAAUAUACAAGAAUAAUGAAAAUUAAAAAAAUAUAUUUAUUUUUGUUAAUAAUUAUAAUUGAUCAGCUUAAUCGGAGGAAGCUUAAAGAUAAAUAGGUAUAAUUAAUUAGAAAUCUUAUGAUUGUUAAGAAGUAUAAAACUCUUAAUCUUAGGUAUAAUAUUCAAAAUCGUGCACACUUGAAAUUUUUAAUACUUAUGCAGGACUUGUAAUUUUUAGUUAGACUAGAAAAUGGACUUGCAAUGCAUGUACCACACAGUUAAAAGAGCAAAACUUUUACGUACCAGGUCAAAAAAAAUUUACUUAAUUAGAAUCCAACAAAUUCUUAAAUCCAAAAUUCUAACCCUAAAUUAAUAACAUCUCAAACUUUAAACCUAGUCAUAGAAUCGUCGAGUGGCGGGUGAUGGCAUUGUCAAUCUACUCCUUGCUGGUUGGGGAUCCCUUGGCGGAGACUAGGGGUGGAAACGAGCCGAGCUCGAGCGAGCUUACCUCGGCUCAAAUUCGGCUUGAAAUUAAUUUCGAGCUUAAAUUUAAGCUCAAGCUUGGAUUGAAAUUAAUUCGAGCCGAGCUCGAGCGAGCUUAAUUUCGAGUCGAGCGAGCUCGAGGCCUAAACGAGCCGCUUGAAAUUCUCAACAUCAUACAAUCAAUAGUUUAAUUUCUAUAGAACAUUAUCUAUAAUUUGAUACAAAAAUAUGUCUAAUAGUUUAAAGUACAAAAUAAUUAUAUAGAAUAUAGUAUUAUAAUAUGAAAAAAAUAAUUUAUGAGUUGAAUAUCUAAUCUUUUCAGCCUCACAUGUUUUUUCUUCCGUCUUCAAUCUCCAUAUUAUUCAUUUUCAUUUAUGCAGUCAAAAAUAAAUAAAUUAUAUAAAUAAAUAUUGGAUUAAACUAUCCAAUCAUAUAUAACAAAAUUAAAAUUUUAUAUGAAUAAUAAUUUUUUACUUUAAAAAUAUUAUGUAUAUUUUAUCAAGCAUACAAUUAAUAGCAAGGUAGGCAACAGCAGGCAUAUGCUGUUACUUGGUAACUUGGAAGGCUUCCAGCUUGGCCGCUUAGGUUGAUCUAAGAAUCAAAAAAUCGAAACCACCAUAUCCUCUAUACUUUCGACAGUAUAGUAGCUCUACUAUAUAUAUAUAUAUAAUUAGGCUGGAAUACUAUUAAUAGUAAAACACUCUUUUUGCUAUCAAGUUUUUAACCCUCGGAUAAAAAAUUGUAGGGUCAGGAUGAUGUUAGUCGGUUAGAGUUGAGUGGUCCCCCUAGGGUUGAGUGGUUCCCACUGGGUUAUAAUAUUUAAUCCAAUGGUUAGAAAUAAUGAAAAGAGUUGAUCCAAAGACUAAAAAACUGGUAGCAACAAUGAGAUUUUGCUACUAAUAGUAGCCCAGUUCAACUCUCUCUCUCUCUCUCUCUCUCUCUCUCUCUCUCUCUCUCUCUCUCUCUAUAUAUAUAUAUAUAUAUAUAUUCGAGCUUUUUGAGCUUUUCGAGCCUAAUUCGAACGAGCCGAGUAAUACUCAAGCUCGGCUUGAAAUUAAUUUCAAGCCUUUUUUUUUUUGUUCAAGCUCGGCUCAUUUAAUUUCAAGUCGAGCUUGAGCGAGCCAAAUAUCGAGUCAAACGCGAGUCGAACGCCAGCCGGCUCGCUCAUUUGCCAGCCCUAGCGGAGACCCCUCGGGUCAGGACCUCUUCUGCAACAUCUACAACGACGGAGGAGGAACAUAUAUAUAUAUAUAUAUAUAGAGUUGAGCUAGAAUACUAUCGGUAGUAAACGAGCCAUUUUACUACCGAUUUGUUUUCGAUGAUAGAGCUUCCAAAUUGACGAUCGGCUCCGUUAAAUAUGAUCUAAAUCAUUUAAACUACCUAGAAAUCAAAUAUCACGCACUUUCGAUAUUGUUCUUUUAUCCAUCAAGUGAACAGAAAAAUGAAUGGCUAAAAAUGAAUACUCUUUAAAAAAUAAUGAUAGGAGUCUUGUAAUCAAGAUCAAGAGUAUAGAUCUUGUUUUAAAUAGUUUAAAGAAUUUUCUAACAAAAAUUCAAUUGAUUUGGAUAUCUUUACGUCGUUAAAUGAGAAAACGCCUCUUAUCGAUCUUUAAAAUUAUAAAUUUUGAAACCCUUUGAUCAUUAGGCAAAUGAUGUCGAAAAGAUUUGAAAUUUGAUUUCUAAACACUUCAAGUGGUAUAGAUCAUAUUCAACGGAGCCGAUCGUCAAUUUGGAAGCUUUAUUAUCGAAAACAAAUCGGUAGUAUAAUGACUCGUUUACUAUCGACUCGUAUUCUAGCUCAACUCUCUCUCUCUCUCUCUCUCUCUCUCUAUAUAUAUAUAUAUAUAUAUAUAUUAGUAAUUCAUAUAUGUCGUAAAUGGAAAUUUUAGUAAUUCAUAUAAACAAUAUUUUUAAUUUGUGCAUUAAUUAGUUCAAAAUAUGCCCUCAAUUUCGCAUUCAAAUUUUUUGGCCUCAAUGGACAUUUAAAAUCCUCCCAAUUUAUAUCAACACAAAAUUUGGAUUUUUCGGGUCGAAUUUGCAUCGGGCCGGGCCACACCCACUUGGAUUUGUUGGGCUUUAGUUGGGUUGAUAUUAAAUUAUCCAAUUACAUCCUUGUAUAGUGUUUUUUGAAUUUCCAAACUCAUGUAAAUAUAUCAAUAAAUCACAUUGCUCAAGUAGGUUUUCUAAUGUUAAGUUCAUUGAUGAAAAGCAAACAUGGAUGAUGCUAAAAAUCAAUAAUUCUUUUAGCAGAAAUGUUGGUUUCAAAAAUUUUCAGUCACCUGAAAAAAAAAAAAAAUUUAAUCGGCGAAAUGAAUAAUCUUAUCAAACAAUAAACUUUUGAAUUCGCACUUUCAGAGACUUGUUGUAGGCAUAUAACGUAAUAACACGCUAGGAGCCCGACGUAACUCGAACUCUGGACAUCCUGCUUUUAUAUAUACCAUGUGAAACAAUCGCUGUACUCUAAAAGUUUAAGCUAUUACAGAAUGAUAUUUUAAUAUUUUUAUGUUUAACAAUACGCAAAAUUUAUGUUGAAACUUGAAAGAGAGAAAAAAAAGCAAAACAAAAUUCUCAUUUCACAUGAUUCUCUCUUUCCUUUCCUUUUUCUUUUAAAAAAAGAAAUAAUAAGUGCAGGUACAUGACCUCUCAAUUCUGUCUCUUUAGGCUUUCUUUGUUGUACUUGAUUUGUGGGGCACAAACAAGAUCUCUUACACAGCUGGCUCUAAUUCAGAUCCUUUUUUUUUUUUUUUUUUUUUUUUUGAGCUUUCCCCAAAAGCAGAAGCCCACAAAAUAACCCAAUUAUUAUUCAAAAAAUUGAAGCACAAAGCAUAUACCUUUCAAUCUCUGUCAACUUUACAGUUGUAGAAGGCCAUGGCUAAGGGCCCAAAAGGACACCAAUCCAAAACAAGAAAUUAUUGCUUGGACUUGGUCCACCACAUCAUCCGUGGACCGACCAGUUAAAAGACGGCAAGUGGAGUUGAAGAGAGAUAGAUCCCUGUGUUUCUAAAUAGGUAAAAACAUGUAAAACUUAUCUGAACUAUAGACCAUUUGGAGUCGACUAUUCAAUCUUGCAAAAUUUUAAUUUUAUUAUUACCUAGUCUUUUAAUUUAUUGGAUUUGUGUCAGUCGACGGUGCUUUAACUUUAAAAUGUAAGCUAAUACUUGCUUUAAUAAGUUUACAGUUGUGCGAAUUAUAUGAGAUUUACUAACUAAAUCUGUAAAGAUGAGUGAUGCGUUCAGAUUUUUAAGUCGAAGUGUCGUCGACUAAUUCAAUCAAAUAACAUUGAAAAGUGCGAUAGAGGUUGGAUAGCUAAAACCAAAACGGUCCAUAGUUCCGAUAAAUUUUAUAAAUUUUUUACUUUUUUAAUAUAUAUCUAAAUUCAAUCGACUAAGCAACAUUUUGGUAGCUAAACUCUUUCUGGCCAGAGUUAUCACUAAAUAUAAUUAACAUAUAUAUUCUGACACAUCCAAACAACACCCGAGUAAAUAAAAAUAUGUAAUACUGAAUAGAAUAUUUAUGCAUUCAAACGAGUUAUUGGCUACUAAGAAAUUUUGAGUGUAGGUAAUCUUGAUCUACAUACUAGGUCCAUGGAUAUUUUUGUCCAAGCAAAAAUUAAGCAAAAAUAAUGAGGAAAAAACCAAAUAAGAAGCAUGACAUGUAUAUAAAAAGGUGUAUUCUCUCAUGAUUAUUUCUUAUAUGAUGAUAUUUUUGUGACACACAGCUCAUUUGAUUUGGAGUCUAAUAAGGUGUUGGUAUGGUGCAUGCAAAGUAAGAAAUUCUUGGUUAAAAUGCACUGAGACCCCUUCAACUAUUUUACAUUUUGAGACAGGCCCUAAUUUUCUAAUCAACUUUGUUAAAAUAACUAAGGCUUCGUUUGGUAUCCGUUUGUUUUUUUUUUUUAUUUUUUUAAAUAAAAAUUUAUACAUCAAAAAGUGCAAGAGUGGACAGUAAAUUGUUGUCGUAUAUAGUUGGUAGCGAAUUAACGAGCAAUAAUAAUAAAAGAAUAGUCUCUCCCUCAAUACAUCAAAUUAUACAAAAUUAGCUAGUAUUUAAAAAAUGAACUAGAAGAUAAAAUUAUGAGAUGUAGCAGUGAUAAAUUGAUUAAUUGCAACUGUAGAUAUAUAUAUAUAUAUAUAUAUAGAGUGAGGCUACUAUGUCUAUCGGAAGGCACGGAGCCUUCCGUGCUUCCAGCUCUUUUCGAUGUUCGAUUUUCGAAUUGUCGAUCGGCUCCGUUAAACUUGAUCUAGAGUAUUUUGAGUACCUAGAAAAUAAAUUUUAUUAUUUUUCGAUAUCAUUUGCUAGUGAUCGAAUGGCUCAAAAUCAACAAAUUUCAAUGGCCGUAGUGAGCCCUUUGCAAGUUUACGCGUGUAGAAUAUCCAAAUCACGUGAAAUUUUGAUAGAAAAUUCUUUAUACUAUAUAAAAAAAUAUCAAUAUCUUUGAUUUAAAUUUUAAUGCCAUAUUAUUACAUUUUGUAAGAUUUUUAUUUUCAGCGCGUUGAUUUUGAGCCCCUUCGUUCACUAGGCAAAUGAUAUCGUAAAAUCAUAAAUUUAUUUCUAGUACUUCAAAUACUCUAGAUCAAGUUUAACGGAGCCGAUCGACUGAUUCGAAAGUCGCAACAUCGAAAACUAGCUGGAAGCACGGAAGGCUCCAUGCUUCGAUGGCAAGUAGCCUCACUCUAUAUAUAUAUAUAAUUAUUAUAAUAUAUAUAUAUAUAUAUAUAUAUAUAUAUAUAUAUAUAUAUAUAUAUGGUCAAUGCUUCAAAAAAAAAAAACAUCUAUAUUUGGUGGAUUUGGUGAAUUAGUCCAACUAAACAUUAUGGCAUGGCCUAUAGUCCAUGCAAAAAAAAAAAAAAUCCAAGCAAUGAUAAUAAUUUAGUAAAAAUCUAAACUAUGAUCUCUCAUCUCUUUUCAAAAGCCCAAAAAAAAAAAAAGGAUUAAAAAAGGACAUAGAAAGGAUAUAUAUAAUAGAAAACAAUGUCUUGCAUAAGUGCAGUAUAUUGAUAGCUGUGUAUUAAUAAGCCCUUCAAUAAUAGAAUUUUCACCAAUCAAAAGUAGAAAUUGCGAAUUUGAGCGUAGAUUUGAAGCUUUAUUUGAUUUUAGUCAAGAGUUUUGUUUCUGCUUCUCGUGUAGAGACUUGCCUACAAGUUUAGACCAAAUAUUUGAUAUAUAUACAUUGAAUGAAUGCAAUCUCAUUAGCAAAUUAAGUAGGAAAUAUAUUAUAUAUAUAUAUAUAUAUAUAUAAUAAUAUAUAUAUAUUAUAUAUAUAUAAUAAUAAUAUAUAGUAUAUAUACGAGUGCGGCAGAAUGCUUAUGGAAGCACGGAGGCUUCCGUGCUUCCACUUUUUUCGAUGUUCGACUUUUCGAAUCGACGAUCAGCUCGUUAGACUUGAUCUAAGUAUUUGAAAUAUCUAGAAAUAAAUUUUGUGAUUUUUCGAUAUCAUUUGCCUAAGUGAUCGAAGUGGCUCAAAUCAACAGGCCUGAAAAUAAAAAUCUUACAAAAAUAUGAUGAUAUGACAUUAAAAUUUAGAUCAAAGUUAUUGAUCUGUUUUAUAUGGUAUAAAGAAUUUUUUUUAUCAAAUUUCAUGUGAUUUGGAUAUUUUCUACACCGUUAAACUUGCAACCGGCUCACCACGACCAUAAAAUUAUUAUUUUGAACCCCUUCGAUCACUAGACAAAUGAUAUCGAAAAAUCACAAAAUUUAUUUUUUAGGUACUUCAAAUACUCUAGAUCAACUCUAACGGAGCGGAUCGUCGAUUCAAAAGUCGAAACAUCAAAACAACUUGAAGCACGGCGGCUCGUGGCUUCCAAUAAGCAUAACCAGUAACAUCUUCAUAUAAGUAUAUAUUAUAUACUAUAUUAGUUAGGAUCUCAUAAUUUUUUGAAAGUACGCGAGAUCUCUAUCUUUAAGUUAUUUUUGAUAAUGGUAGUAUCCGACUUCAGUGAUCGACUCCGUUAUGAUUAUGAAUUAUGCUAUUGAAUUAUUUAGAAACCAAAUUUCAUAGUUUUUUGACUUUAUUUGUCUAUUGAACGAGUAGGCUCAAAAUGAAUGACUGAAAAUAAAAAUCUCAAAAAAAAAUAGUGAUAAAAGACUCAAAUUUCAAAUCGGAAGUAUUGCUAUUACUCUUGAUAUUCUGUAGAAUUUUGUAUUAAAGUUUCAUGUAAUUUCGAUUCUUCUACACCGUUGAACUUUCGAACGUGCCACAUUGGCUGUUAAAAUAGUUAUUUUUGAGACUCUUUGAUCACUUGGUAAAUGAUGUCGAAAAAUUAUGAAAUCUGAUUUCUAAAUAGUUCUAAUAGUGUAGAUCAUGCCUAACGGAGCCGAUCGCUGAAUCAAAUUAAUGCACCAUUAUAAAAAAUAACUUACAAGCACGGAGGUCACUAUACUUUCGAAAGUAUAGAAGACGUAUUCUAUAUAUAAAUAUAUAUAGACCAUGUGCCCACUGUAAGAAACAAAAUGUGAGUGACUAAGUAAUGACUAGGGUUUUAAAUUUAAACAUGACCUAAAAGCUACUACAUUGACCAUUAGUAGACCACAAGAGAGAGAGAGAGAGAGAGAGAGAGAGAGAGAGAGAGAGAGAGAGAGAGAGAGGGAGGGGAGGGGAGGAAAAAAAGAAAAGGAAAAAGAGAGGUAAAUGCUUAUUAAUGUAGGACUCAGGGUUCUUAGAACUCUUAAUUAUAUACAAAUGUAUUGCUUGAAAAAAAUAGUAUCAGUUCUUUCAUUUAAAUUAUUAUUUAAAAACUUUUCGAUACAGAAAUUAGUUCUUUUUUUUUUUCCUUUAUUUUUUAACAAGUCUCUAAAUCCUUCCACGCAAGCACAUAUUUUUAUGUUUGGAUUGUAACUUGAAACCUAUUGCUUCGAAUUAAGAUCGCGCAUCAACUGUUCUACCAAAGGUUAUAUAGUACAAUUAAUUAGACUAAUUAAGGAGCUCAUUUCAACUUGUCACCGUAACAUAGACUCUAGACAUUUUGUUCGCCAAAACAAUUUCUUGCUGCAUUAUGAAAUCCCAAAGCAAAUUUGUUACGACAAACGCACAAACGAUAACGAAAAUGACGGACACAAAAUAAAUAAACUACAAACAGAAAUAGAGGACCAUACAGAUUUACGUGAAAAAUUCUUUGUAGGAAAAAAUUACAGGCGAGAGAGGAGAAAACUUCACUAUUGAAAAGGAAAUACAAUGUUCGAGUACAAUCAACCACCAUCAGUCGCCUCUGGGGCAAAAACGAUAAAGAAAACUCUUAACGAGUUUCGGAUCGGAUCCGAUCCGAUCCGUACUUGUCGGCCCGAGCCCUCCGCUACCCACCACAGACAUUCAUUUUUCCUUGAUAAUUUUAAUUUCAAAUUUGAUUGCACCGCGAAACUGUCGGCGAAUCGAAAUUUCGAACUGAAGUCGAUUAUCAAUUUCGAGUCACAUCUAACAAGAUUAGCUGUUUCAGAAGCCACGCCAAACAUUAGAACAAGUGGAGGGACAAAUUAAAUUUGAAUUUUUUUUUCUUUCAAUUUUGAGGUAAAGUAUAACGACCUAACCCGCUAGCAAUAUAACUCAUUGAGCCCAAAUCAUCAGCCCAAAAUAUUUAAACUCAGUUAUUAUUACUAACAUGUAAGAUCUCAUAUAAUUCAAUCAGAGUUAUUUUAUCAUUGCGAGACUAUCGGGGUGUUACAUAAAGUAGCUAGGGGGGAGUUGAUGAUAUUGUGGGUUGGGUUGCUCCUGUGGCAAGAGAGAGAGAGAGAGAGAGAGAGUAGGGACAAACCCACAUGCAAAGGUUGGGUUGGUGAGGGCUUAGUCCCAUUCCUUUGUUCUCAAACCCACCCCCUUGCUUUGCAUAGUUUCCCUUCUUUGGCCAUGGAUCCACAAUUUAAAAGCUAGCUUAUUUACAUCAACCAACUUGUGUCUAUUAAAUAUCAAUUAUGUGCCUUUUAAUUAAUUAAUUAAUUAAUUAAUUAAUUAAUUAAUUAAUUUAGCCCCUCAUUAACUCAAAAGUAUUCCCCACCAAAAGGUUUUUCCACAAAAGUUUUUUUUUCAUUUUAUUUACUAGCUAGGCUCUAUAUAUGUGAGAUACAUAAAGAUCUAACUAAGGUAAUAUAUAUGUAAUAAUUUUAAGCUGAAAUUAAUGAUAUAAAAUGACAUAAUUUAUAUAAUUAAUUAGUGCGGCUCUUAUUAAGCUUUAAUUUGGUGGUUCCAAAUUAAAGUAUUUUUCUUAAUGUCCUAAGUUUAAUUAAGUGAUGUGCAUAUAUGAGAAGCAUUCAUGCAUGUUAUGCCUCUUACUUUAUUUUAUUUUAUCAAGCUUGUAACUAUUCAUGCACACACACUAUAUAUAUAUAUAUAUAUAUUCUUAUAGCAUGAUUCGAAUCGAAAACCAUUAGCUCAUGCUGAAGAGAUCUGCCAUUUAAUCUAGACUUUAUCUACAAGUCUUGUGCAUUAAUUUUUUAUACCAAGAGAGAGAGAGAGAUCCUCUUUGUCUAGUUUCUUUGCAGCAAAGACAAGUAAAAGACAAAAGGAGCCCAAAGAAGCAAUGACCAGAUAGCACCAUCCAACCAACUUGGAUAAAUAUAUACAUAUAGGUUGUAAUAAUAUUGGAGAGUGAUCAUAAACCUAUAAAUGGAGAGAGAGAGAGAGAGAGAGAGAGAGAGAGAGAGAGAGAGAGUUGGUCCUAGCUACAAAUUAAGUGGGCUCCAACACUCAAAUAUGUUAUGCCCCCUACCAUGUUAAAUAUUACAUAUGUUCUUCAUACUAUGUGUUAGAUGUGACUUGAAAUUUUUUCUUGCAAAAGAUUUUUCACGCAAAUCUGUAUGUUCUUUUUUAUUUUUGUUUGUGGUUUGACUAUUUCGUGUUCGCUAUUUUCAUUUUCGUUUGUGCGUUUGUCAUAACACUAUGGAUAUAAAGCAUAUUUUUAUUUUAUCAUCCUUUGGUUUAGAAAGUUAUUCUUAGCGUGGUUUUAAUUUACCGUAAAACACACUAAUAAAAAGUAAUAUUCUUUGUAAACUAAUGUAGUAUGGUAUAAUACUAUAAUAUUGCAUUUUUAUUUUUCUAUAAUUAACUUACAUUCUAUCACUUUGUAGUUUGCAAAAGGUGGGCUACCUUGUUCAAAACUAGAUCCUUGUGGUAAAAUGAAAAUAAACCCAUAGAACAAUUAAGUGUAACUUCUUAAACUAGAAGGUGACAUAAUGGAAAUGUACUGAACCACAGAGCGUCAAAUUGAAGUUUAAGAAACAAAUAGUACGUUCUACAAAAUGUUUUACAAAUUAUCACGCAGACAAAGGGUAUAUAUAUAUGAUAUUCUUUAGACGAACCCAAAUUAUCAAAUAAUUGAGUCCUUAUUUACACUAUUUUGUCCCCUAGAUCGAUCUCCUUUUGAAAUGUGUUAGGCCCUGCUAGUACAUUGUUGAUAGAUGAAACCAAUUUGAGAAAAUCAGAUGAAACUCAUUGGAUGUAACUAGGCAGGAUAGAAUUAUUUAUAUUCAAUAUAAGACCAUUAUUCUUAACAUUAUCAAUAACAAAACAUGCCAUCAAAUGGAAUUAUUUUCAUUGAAAUGCACAUGACAAUAUUUUUAUGCAACUAGAGAUAUAAGUUUGAAUAGCUUUUGGCCUUAGAUUGUAGCUGAUUUUGAUUUGUCCUCUCACCAAAAAAGCUUUAUAACUUUUGUUUAUUACAGAUGAAAGUUCCUUUUCAAGCAAUUUAACUUGAAAAUGACUCAUGUUGAUAUUAGGGUUGGUUACAACUUUUCCAAUCUUUAUGAUCAUGUCCUUAAAAUUUGUUCCACAUAUAUAUAUAUAUAUAUAUGUCAUCUCAAAUCUCAAAUUAAAAUUAAGUCAUUGAGUUUGAUGUAAAACUCAUCUCAAUUAGCUAGUAACUAUAAGUUAUGCUAAUUUACAUUGUUUCGGAAAUUUAUGACUUAUUUGAAGGGCAUAAUUGCUAUACAGAAAAACUUAAUUAGGGGAUGCUUGGUUCUUCUAAAAAUCCUAAAAAAAUAUAUUUUUUUGGGACAAAAAGUUGUCCAUGAAAAAAAAAAACUCUUUCCAUACUUUUCAUUUUUCCAGAUAAAAAAUUUGAAAAACUAAAAGGGGACUUUUUAUAAAAUAUGGAAAUUGUUUUUUCCGGAAUAUUACUGUUCUUGGAAACCAAACAGGCUAAAAAUACUUUUUCAUCCAGAAAAUCAUUUUCCAGAUUAUGUUUUUUUUUCUAAGAAACCAAACAACCCCUUAUAGACUAAUUACUUGUUUAAAUUAUAUCUCUAAGAAUGAUGUAGUUGAGAUAAUAUCUUAAUUAAGCAAUAAUUUUCUUAUUAAUCAUUAAAUAUACUAUAUAUGGAAAAGGUUGAUAAAUAAAAUAUACAAGUGCAUGAUCCAAACUUUUCUAAAGCUAGCUCUUCUAAAGCCUUCAAAAACACUCUAAUUUUAUGUACCAAGUUCACUCAAUUUGCACCAUGAUGUAUAAGGUACAAAGUCUCUUGAAGAUAACUAGGUCCCAAUAUCUCUUCAAAAAAAAAAAGAAAAACAAAAGAAAAGAAAAGGAAAAUAAAAGAAAAGCAAAAAGAGGGUGAGAGUAGGUCCCAAUAAAGGCUCUAAUUGAAAGAGAGAGCUCAUAAAGAAACAAAUUAUUGCUUGUAUGUAGUGUAUCUAUACAUUUUGCGUAUCGCUUUUAAUUUGUUGGCUAGUUAUUUUACCACAUACCACAUAUAUAUAUACUUUUGUAAUGUAUGUAUCUAAUUUUUAAACAGAAAGAAGAGUAUAGUAGUUAUAUAGUUAGGUUUAAUUUAGAUGCGUAUUUGAAUACUACAAGGCUUAUAAUACAAGAAAGCGAACGUGUACGGAAUAUAUAGAUGCACCAGAUAUAAGCAAUAAUUUUUAUAAUAAUGAAGGGCCUCUAUAGUGGAUGUUGUGUGUAUUGAUUGACCCUUUUGGUUUAAAGCACUAUCAAAAUUUUACCUAAUAUUUCUCUCUCUCUCUCUCUCUCUCUCUCUCUCUCUCUCUCUCUUCCCCUCUUGAGUGCACCAAUGGCUAAAACCCUCCUACUUUUUCCACAAAAAAAGAAAAUUGCUUUAAUAAUCACAAAGAUAUCUAAAAAAUUGUUGAUACGCUAGUAAAUUCAUCAUACGAUGUUCUAAUUUAUGUAUGUGAAUUGAUAAAAUGCAUGAAUUUUAAUUUCUUAGUCUUAAGUGCAGAAAAUUUUCUCUAUUAAAUAUGUGGCAUCUGCAACAAUCUAAAAACUGCUUAAAAAUAUUAUUUGACGUAAUGUACUGCAAUAAUGGCAACUUGAUAAGUCAGCAUUGUUGAAUUAUCUGAAAAAGUCAUUAGAUGGUUCGCCAUUUAUCGACUAGAGUGCAAAAAUUUUCUGCACCGCAAUUAGAAUAGAACUAGCGUCUUGCGAUCAAAAUCCUUCUGUUUAUUUAUAUUACUAUAUCAAUAAUAAAUAAAAUUUACAUUUUAGUGAAAAUUUUGCAAUAUUUAUUAACCAAACCAAAACAACAGGCAAGGGAACAAUGGGCAGUAGCAUUAAAUGCAUGUUUCCUAUUUUGACCAAAUGAUUGGAUAAGAAGGGUGUAGGGCCCUUCCCUCAACCCCAUUUUAUCUCAUUACUAAUUUGAUUUUUCUAUUUAAUAAUGUGGUCCAUGCAAUAAUGCUUAAAACAACUAAAAUUUACUAGAAGGUAAAGAUUAAUAUGUUCAACGCGAUCUAAGCAUCAUUUAUGGUGAUCGGGUAUCUGAAUUUACAAUUGACACUGUUCAAUACGAUAUAACCAUUUUAAACUUUAGAAAAACUGAAUUUCAUAAUUUUACGAUAUUACUUACCUAGUAAUCCAGCGGUCACAAAUACACCUUAGAACCACUUGACUAUAGACGUUGAAAUAUUAUAAAAUUUAAUUUCUAUGAAGUUUAAAUCGCUCAAAUCAUAUUCACUGAUGCUAAUUGUCAAUUCGAAUUAAUGUCCCAUUAGUAAAAUGACAGGCAUAGAAAUAAUCUUGUUUAUUUUUGAAAAUAUUCUAAGUUGACUAAAAGAAAUUAAAUUUUACAAAACUUUCUCCUCCAUCACACUCUACAAUAUUUUCUUUUGUUUAUUCAUUAUGAUUUUGGUCAUUGGUAUGCAUUUUGAUUGUUUUGGUUACAUUUUCUUUGUUGUUUCAAUUCAAUUCCAAAUUACUCUAGAUCGAGAAGAGAAGCUUCUGCGCGCGAGGAUAUAACUCUCUCGCUAUAAUAGACAUUGUGAUGAUGCAGUGAGUGCUAAAUCUUUUUUUUUUUUUUUAGAGAGAUAGAUAGCACGCUACCCGCUUCGUUUAUUUCAUUUAGAAAUAAACUUAGCUGGAAAUGUGAAUCAACUAGGAUUCGAACUUGGGACCUCAGGUGCCAACCAUCAAGCUCUUUGCCACUUGCUUUAGGGACGGUCGGUGUGAGUGCUAAAUCUAUUAAAACAAUAAUUGACUUGCUUAAAAAGAAAACUUUAAGGGAUUUAGUAGGCGAAAAAAAGAAAGCACAGAAAAAGAAGAGAGCAAACUAAAUAAAAUUUGACAAAAAUUGAUGAAAUUUUUAUUAGAAGGGUAUUUUCGUAAAGUAUCACAAAUUUAAAAGAAUAUACAUAUAAUUUAAAAUUUGGAGGAACAUAUAAGUUAUUUUUAAACUGGAGAAGGAUACAUAAAUAUUUAACCUUUUAUAUAAAAGAAUGGAUAAUUGUGUAUAUAUCCUUCAAAACUUCAGAAAUAUCUGAUUUAUCCUUACUUUUUUUUUUUCUUUCCAAUAUAUUCUUCAUAUAUUCCUCCGUUACUCCAAAUACUUUCUCAGUUAUCAUCCGUUAAGUUAACUUGCAUUAAACGUGAGUUAAAAAAAAAUAAAAUUACUCUUUUGCCCUCAACUUAAAAGCAAAUAAGAAAUGUUGGUGAUGUUAGAAGGAUAUAUUUGAGAAAACCAAAAAUUAAAAUAUUUUUUGUACCCUUAACUUAAAGGCAAAUAAGAAAAAUUGUUGAAGUGUUUAUUUGAAAGGGUAAAAUAAUAAUUUAAUACAGAUAACAGCUAUUGCUAAUCGUUCAUUAAUCGAAUUUAAUUCUAGGGGUAUAUUUGAAAUAGGUUGGAAUUAACGUAAAAAGUGUAUUUUCAAUAUUAGCCUUUUAAGAAGAGUAAAUUAGAAAGUCGAAAAACUUUUUAGAAGUAUAUUGCAAAAAAAAAAAAAAAAAAGUAUUCCACAUUUUUUAGCCCUAGAUUAAAUUUUUAAAAUUUUUUUUUAAUUCUCUAUUAGUGGUUGGAUCUCCUAUGAGACAGUCCCACGUGUCAGUCCUGUCAGGGUGGGGCCCCUGAUUGGAUUGGAUGAUGGAAAAAAAAAAAAGCAGGAGAAAAGGAUCUCCCUUAUCCACUAUGCAACUAUUGGGACAGCUGUCACCAUAUCAUUUACUUUUACACUCUCUCCUCUCUCCUCUCUCUUUCUCUCUCUCUCUCAACCAACCCCUAUAUAUGUUAUAUGAUCACUAUUACAUGUAGAUUCACACAUCUCACUAUUGAACAAACUAAAAACUAGUAGAGAGAGAGAGAGAGAGAGAGAUAAAUUGAGAAGAGGCAAAAGAUACAACAAGGAGCUCAAUUUCUCUCCCUAGAGCUUAGAAAUGGCACAAUGCAUCCCUACUCGAGCGUCGACGAAUCCCUCCGUGUUAGAGAGACAAAGAGUGCGCCUUAAUUGGCAGCAGCAGCAAUCGACUGACAACACUGACUGCAUUGGUUACAACAAUAUUGAGAGUUUCGCUCCCCUCUCGUCUUUUGAUCAAUUGCCCAAGAAUUUUGUCGAUGGCGAGAGAUCUAGAAAUGAAAGUUUUGGUCAUGUUCAUGACCCGAUCGAAAGCCUCGGCGACGGGUGGCCGGAUUUUUCUAUGGUGAAUUAUCCAAACUUUUGCGCGAUCAAUGUCGGAGAAAAGGCAAAUGAUAAAGAGAAUAGCGAUAGCUCAAAGAAGAGAAAGUUCGGGAAUUUUUCGAAUUCACAGGUAAUUAGCAUUUUCUCCAAAACUACUUGAUCACAAUUUACAUGCUAUUUGUGUUUUCGCUUUGAUAUUCAACUUAUAUAAGGCUAAAAAGCUCAUCACAUGUAAACCUAGCUAGAGAAGCUUGGAAAAAUAUUUAAAGGCAAUAAUUUGUUAAAAUUUGUUGAUAGCAAAGGCACCUUCUUUAAUUUAUAAGCGUAAAAUCAUACAAAAUGUCGAUAAUUGAAACUAGCGUGUUAAAUUUAGAAAUUUUUCGAAAUUUUCUCAUGAACAUUGAAGAAUUUGAAGUUGCUACACUUUGUUUACAUUUGAAUCAAGAGAUGAAAAUUUUCUUUCUUUUACUAGCAGGUGGAUGCUAACAAUGCAACAGAGAACAGUGGCAGCUCAAAGGGAAUGAAAGAAGAUUAUGUAUUAGGAGAGAGAAAGGGCGCAACCGGAAACCAAAAGCCUCAAAACAAGAAGGAAACAUCAACAGAAACCUUGAAGGAGAAUGGGAAGGCAUCCAGAUCGUCGACUACGACUACGCCGCUGAAGACCGACUACAUUCAUGUUAGGGCUCGCCGUGGCCAAGCCACUGAUAGCCAUAGCCUUGCUGAAAGAGUAUGCGAUCUCUCUUCCUCUCUCUCGCGUUUCCUCUUGAAAUUUAAGCUGCUCCACAAGUGUAUGUUGUCUUAAAUGGGCCAGCAUCCUACUCUAUGACGGAAGAUCAUGUUGGGCCGAGUCAUGUUUGAAAUUGCGUGAGACUGAGGUGGGCCAAGCCAUGUUCGAAGUGGCGCGAGACUGGUUGGGCCGAGUCACAAUCGAGACCCGUAGGCGCUGUAUCUAUACGCUUUAAGUGAAUUAGUUGCAUAUUUCUAACAGCUCGAGCUUUUGGGAUUAAUGGUUAGCGCCAACGAUCCGACAGUGUAACACGCCGGUUUAUAUAAAUAGAAGAAAAUUAAAUGACAGCAAAAGCUCGCAUAAACUUAACUGAAAUCAAGAUCUCGUUUUGAUACCAUACGAUCAGCCAAUUUUUUAUACAAUUUUAAAUAACUAGAAAAUGGUGUUUUAGAUUUCACUCUCUCUUAUAUACACACACACACACUCUCAAAACAAACGUUUUGCUCUAGCUAGUAGCUUAAGCUUCUCCACAGGAGUGGUACAUGAUUUGAAUAAAUGGGGCCAGGGAAAAUAAAUUGAGAGUGAAAGCUUAAAAAAACUUCAAUUGAUGAUCUCAUGCUCUGACACCAUAUGAAACAAUCAAUUUUCUCUAAAAGCUUAGAUGUUAAAGAAUGUGUUUUAAUGUUCCAUGCUCAAAACAUCUCUCUCUCUCUCUCUCUCUCUCUCUCUCUCUCUCUCUAGCUCUAAAAGUU